UACAAGAGAAAGUUGUUAGAUAGGGAUUUAGGCCAUGCAAUUUGUAAAAUUGGGAGAUUUAGGGGUAAAUUAUCAAGUAUUAAUAUAUAUACUUUAGGAUUAGGGUUUCAUUAACCCGAACCCCAACCCUAGCCACCCUCCCCUCCUCUAUCUGGUCCUCCUAAGAAGCACCGUCGCCGCCGUCGCCACACCGACGGCCGGAGAAUCCACCAUUUUCUCCUCACUCUCUCCCUCUCUCUUUCUCUCUCCAUUAUUGGCUUUGAGGGCGAAGGUGACCUGAGCCUCUGGUUUCUACGCCGCCGUCGGCAGGGACCGCCACCGCUGGUAGGGACCGUCGCCGCCGUCAUCCUCGAACUCUGGCAACCGUGAGCCGCCCCUGGCGCAACCAUGCGCCAGGAGCCGCUGCAGCUAAAGGCGGAGCCUAGGGCAACCGUGCGACCCUAGGACUUCACCCGAUCGCCGUCGCCGCCGCCGCCGUCCGCUCCCACAGCCUGAAGAGGAAGAGGAAGAGGACAAGGGCAAGGACAAAAUUGUCAUUUCACAACUCUACUGNACUGCCGUCGUCCGUCACCGUUGAUCCCAGGAGGGUCGCCGGCGCUGCCCCUGCCCUUCCCAGAGCCACCGUAGCAACGAUUGGAGAAGCCCUAGCCACGACCUCUUUUGGGCCGCAGGGCCGCAGCGCCGCCGUUGCAGCUCCCCGCCGCCGGGGUUGGUGCCGACGGCCUUCCCUAAGCAAAGUGACCCUUCUCUAACCUGGCCCUGCGCCGCCGUGCCGCCAACAGUCGCCUAGGCUCCGCCCUAGCCCUACCAAACUGCGGUCAAGGGGGUACCUUGUGCUGAUCUCGUGCUUCCGACUACCUAGGACUCCAAAUUGUGAGCACGGCAUCCUUGGGACCCUAUAGAGUCCCGUGCUCACCUUCGCUGCGACCAGAGAAGCUCCGGUGCAUGCAACGGACUCGACCGCUCCCCAAAUAUUACAUUGGGAGGGCUUUCUCGUUGUUUCGAAGCUCUCCAGCCAUUAUUUAUGCUUCGAACAGCAAGCACAUGCAUCAACACGUCGAGACGAAUCAAAUCAAUUGGUUAGUAGGAUCCGUUGCAACAUGGAUCGAGGUAACAGGCUCGAAACUCAUGUUUAUGUUGUAAUUGCAUAGCAAUUGUUGCUAUAAUGGGUUUGUUGCAUGUUUUAUGCAUUGGGGACGCCGUGUACUGCCCUGGACAACGUGAAGCCGCUGUUAACAACCUCUUGACUGAUCAUCAAAGGUUCGGGAGCCGUUGCGGAGUUAAGAUGUGGCCCCACAGCAUCGUUCGUGAAAGAAGAGUAAAAUAGCAUACCCUUAUGGAUUCUAUUAAUGAUGUUAUAUAGUACAAGAGAUGAGUCUAAUAUAGUAACAAUACCUAAUAUAGUAACAAUAUAACUAGGUAUCUCAUAUUAUAUAAUCCUACUCUAAAUAUGUCGUAAUAUAUAGUAUCCUCAUAUGGCAUGAGAUACUAAAUAUGUCGUAACAUCCCCCCGCAAGCUAAGCAUCCGGUAGUCAGAUGCGAAGAUUGAGCCGCAACACGGAAAACGGAGAAGGCGACAAAGGCUUGGUGAAAAUAUCAGCAAAUUGCUUAUCAGAAGAGAUGUGCACCAAGUCCAAAUCACCAGACUGGACUUUCUCACGUAGGAACUGAUGGUCAAGCUCAAUAUGCUUCGUCCGAGCAUAGAGAAUUGGAUUAGCCGCAAGAUAAGUCGUGCUGAGAUUAUCACAAUAGAUGUUGAUGGAGCGCCAUAAGAAAACACCAAGGUCACGGAGCAAAUGGCGAAUCCAAACUGUCUCAGCAAGCGUAUAUGCCACAGCGCGAUACUCCACUUCAAAACUGGAGCGAGAAAUGGCAGGCUGUUUCUUAGCAGACCAGGAGAUAAGAUUGGGCCCGAGAAAGACGCAAUAACCAGAAGUAGAGCAACGUGUAUCGGGACAACCAGCCUAAUCAGCAUCGGCAAACGCCAUAAGAGAAGGAUUAACACCACGAGAGAGUUGAAGACCAUAAGAUAGGGUCCCUCGAAUAUAACGUAGAAUACACUUGACGGCUUGCAUAUGUGGUUGACGAGGCGUCUGCAAAUACUGAGCAACAGAGUUGACAGCAUACGAAAUAUCCGGUCUCGUGAAGGUGAGAUACUGGAGAGCACCACUAAGCUGACGAUAGACAUAAGGAUCGUUAAGAAAACGUCCCUCAUGAGACGAGAGGCGAGAGGCCGGAGAACAAAGACUAGAGACAGGCUUACAAUCAAGAAAGCCAUGGCGUUGAAGUAGUUGAUGCGUAUAUUUGUGCUUAGUCAGAUGAAGACCAGAAGAAGACGGAGUAACCUCAAUGCCCAAGAAAUAAUGGAGCGGCCCAAGAUCUUUCAGAGCAAAUUCACGUUGUAGGGUGACAAUGAGAGCCUCCAAAAGAGAGGAGGAGCUACCAGUGAUAAUAAUAUCAUCAACGUAUAAAAGAAGAACGAGAGUGCCAGAAGAGGAAUGAGAAACAAACAUUGAGGGAUCCGCGGUACUGCCGACAAAACGAAGUUCAGAAAGAAAUGAAGUGAACCGCUGAAACCAAGCCCGAGGGGCCUGCUUAAGACCAUAGAUUGCCUUGCGGAGACGACAAAUGUGAUGAGGAAAAAAGGGGUCCACAAAAUUCGGUGGUUGUGCCAUAUAAACCUCUUUAGAGAGAGUUCCAUGAAGAAACGCAUUCUUCACAUCAAGUUGUCGAAGAGACCAACCAGAGGAUAAGCCACGGAGAGAACAGUACGAAUAGUGGUCGCCUUGACAACGGGAGAAAAAGUCUCAUCGAAAUCAACACCUCGUUGUGGCAUAGUAGUAUUGCAUUUCAUACAUGCUUUCAAUUCAGCAGCUUAUUAUUGUUUAAUAUUAUCGUUACUUACCCCUUUUUCUUGGGCCUAGUGGUGCAUUGUGCUGAGGUCAGUAAUUGCCCACUGGAAACUAUAAAUUAUAGUUCUCACGCCCUCUGUUUCAUGUUCUUAUUUCAGAGCCUUCCACUCCGGGCGGGGCUAGGGACUGCGGAAAGGGUAUCGCCACGAGCUAGCUUGUGAGCGAAGGACGUUCGAUAGGUGGUCUACCUCUUCUUUGUUUUCUUUUUGGGAGAGAAUGAGAGUUGUACCUUGUAUAGAGACCACCCUUUUUGUAGUACUUUUGUGAUAACUCUUGUACUUACUUUAUCUUUAUGUUUAGUAGUUUACUUUCCCUUCUCUACUUGUUUGUUAGUUGUUAGCUGUUAGUAGCUCUGAUAUCUCUAGUGACUUUAUUUCUUCUUGCUUCCAUAUCUCUUUUGUUGUAGACGCCUUAUAUGUGCAGGCAUAUGGCAGGUCUGGGCACGCACCGGGCGGGCCUAUACCGGGUCCCGGGGCGUAACAAAAACGGUGGGAACUUGUGGUAAAAGAGAUGGCAAAUAGAAUCAUAACUGGAGGUAUGUGUGGUUCUCCUCGCCUGGCAGUAAUUCAACGGGUAUGUGUGGUUCUCCUCGUCCAUUUAGCUUAUCGGAUGAUGCCGCCUAAAUUGACUUGAACCAUUGCUGGGUAAGGACGAUGUGGUCGCUGCCAAAUGACUAAGUCACGACUUGAACCAUUGUUGGGUGUGAUGCGAUGAGUUCGCCGCCAGAUGGCUAAGUCAUGACUUGAGUCGUUGUUGGGUUCGAUGCGAUGAGUUCGCCGCCAGAUGGUUAAGUCAGAGGUGCGGUAGGCUGUGACGGCAGCCAGGCUGAGGUGCAGCCAGUGCGCGGACUAUCCGCGGAUGAUUGACUCGAGGCCGAGUCGGGUGGUUAGCUUGAUUAGGUUAAUGGAAACCUUAUAAGCUAGUGAUAGAAGCAAGAGCUAAGGUAAUAGAGACCUUAGAAGCAAAUGGCACUUGAGUUGUGAACCUAAGGUAGUAGAAACCUUAGAAUUGAAUGACAUGAGCUAAAGUUAGCAAAGUUGAACAUAGAAUCAAUAGAUCUACUAGUUGAUUGCAUAUAUUCAUAUUGCAUAUUGCGAGGCAUGUUAUCUGUUAGUUGUAUAAUUACAUUACGAUAUAUAUCUGUAGAUGUUUUUGGACUAACAUGAUUGCAGUGCCUCCUUGGACCUAUCGGUCGAGCUUUUCCCUUGGGUGGCCAUACCCACUGGGAACCAUGGAGUUGGUUCUCACCCCACGUUGUUUUGGGGUGUUACAGGUUCACACGUAAGUGGCACGGCGGCACGAGGUAAGAGCGUAGCUCCAUAGAUAGUGCCCUACCCCAGAGACCAGAGAUAGCGGUACCCCGAGUCGGCAUAGCCUAGGGGUAUAGGAAAGGGAAAGGAACACAAUGUAUCAAAUUUGUAAUAUUAAUUGUAAUACCUUAAUUGCAUUUGGAAGUUGAAUGUAAUGUAAAAUGAAUCUAAUGGGAAUGCUUGUAAUAACAUAGAAUGUGUUAUGUUGUUUGAUACCUUCCUUAUGCAAUCUUGCUUGAAUACUGUUCCUGGUUGGAAUUCCUUGUACUUGUAUUGAUUGCAGCGCCUAGGACGUACAGGGAAAACUCUGUCCGUUCAGCGGUCUGUCGACGUGCCCGAACUCGACCAAAUAGGCAAGGCUCGGGGUGUGACACAUAUAAACAGACACCCAUUCCUUAUAUGAACCGACUGCAGCCAACAUAUACUACUAAGACCCAUGGCUAGGAUCAGAAUUUGUUGCAUAGUCAAACUACAGUAGCCUCACAUUGAAUGGUCAUGGUGUCGCAGGUCUAAGGAUCAGUUGUACCACUGUAAUAUCGAACCAGUUACUGACGAAUGAGUAGACAUCCAUGUAACUGUUCAUAAUUGGUCACGCUCAGUACCCUUGUUCUCCAACAACCACUUGCAUAUUAACUCCAGUGUCCCCACACUGAUGACUCGAGAUUCGUCAUCCCAAAAGAGAAACGGCACACACAUCAAUCUUACGGGAUCAAUCAUCGUCCCCAUGAUGAUCCACCGAUUGAGAGCAUUUAGGAAUUAAUCACCAAUAAUAUAUAUCUCAAAUUCUCAACUCUUCAGAAUAUAUAUUAUCAUCUUAUUAAUUAAAAGGACGAUUCACGGACACAUUAAACAUGAAUAAAAUAAGAAAUGCCCAAUUAUAUAAAUAAUAAGAUUAAGUACAAAUAUAUGUCCCAAAGAAAAUAAAAUGUGUCAGCCUGAUAGGCUUCUAGGGCAUACAACUAACACUAAUAUAGUAUCCAAGAUAUUUUUACGGUAAACUUUUAAAUGGGAGUAUUGCAUCUUGCAGUCUAAUGCGGUUUUCGAUGAAACAGAAGUGCCACUCUCAUGGUCCGCUGGUAUAGUAAGUCCAGUAAUGGACCCCGAUGCAAUUUGGCGUGAUUUAGUGAUAUCUUGGGGAUGUUAUUGCAUAAGUGCAAUUUUUACUAAUUGGAGUAUUUAUUCAAAAAGCACGGCAUUUCAUGUGUCAAAAUGCACAAGUUUUGAUGUGGAGGAACUUAUGAGCAUAAUACACCUAUGGGUGAGUUUUGGAUUUGAAAUUGUGUUCAUAAGGGAUUAAAUUGCAAUUUUUGCAAUUGGUGCAAAAAAGGGCUUUAUGCGAAGGGUAACACAUUUCAUGUGAGAAAUUCUGGAAUUUCUGUGAGUGAAUGGACUCACGUGAAACUAGACGGGGAAUGAAUCACGUAGGUUCAAUUUUUACAAAAUUCGAGAUUCCCGUGAAAUUUUGCACACAGUUGAAAUAGAGAGAGGAAAUCAUCAGGGAACGUUUUCACAAAAAGGAUAAUGUAUAAUGCAAUAAACUGCAAAUUUUUUGAUGAGAAGGGUUUCUGUGCAAAUUGAGCUGCACUAUAGAGAUUGUGUGCAAGAGAGGGGUUAAAUUGUAUUUGUUAUAGAAAAUUAUAUUGUAUACAUAUAUAGCUACACACACACACAUACAUAUACACACACACACAUACAUAUAUAUAUAUAUAUAUAUAUAGUUGAGCUAGAAUACUAUUGGUAGCAAACGGGCUCCGUUGCCACCCAUUUAUUUUCGAUGAUGGAGCCUCCAAAUCGACGAUCGACACCGUUGAAUAUGAUCUAUACCACUUGAAGUGUUUAGAAAUCAAAUUUCAUGCAUUUUCGAUAUUAUUCUCUUAUCCAUCGAGUGGACACAAAAAUGAACGGCUGAAAAUGAAUAUUAAAAAAUGAUGAUAGGAGUCUUGUAAUCAAGAUCAAGAGUAUAGAUCUUGUUUUAAAUAGUUUAAAGAAUUUUCUACCAAAAAUUCAAUUGAUUUGGAUAUCUUUACGCCGUUAAACGAGAAAACGCCUCAUAUCGACCAUUAAAAUUACAAAUUUUGAAACUCUUUGAUUGUUAGGCAAAUGAUGUCGAAAAGAUUUGAAAUUUAAUUUUUAAACACUUCAAGUGUAUAGAUCAUGUUCAACAUUGUCGAUCGCGAUUUGGAGCUCGAUCAUCGAAAACAAAUGGUGGCAACGGAGCCCAUUUGCUAUCGAUAGUUAUUCUAGAUAUAUAUAUAUAUAUAUAUAUAUAUAUAUAUAUAUAUAUAUAUAUAUAUAUAUAUGCCUUAAACCCUGCCUAGUCCCUCUCUCCCUGUACGGCCGCCACCUCUCUCCCCGUGCUACGCCGCCUGCCGGUGCACCACCCCUGUGAGCUCCCUGUCAAGCUCUCGCUCUCUCUCUCUCUCUCUCUCUCUCUCUCUCUCUCUAUCUAAUAUAUAUAUAGAUAUAUAACUUGAGCCCUCCCGUCUCUUCUCUAGUUGAAGCCGCCGCCGACGCCGGCGUCUUGCCGCUGCCACCUUUGGGCCGAAGACCCUCAGCGGCCUCGCCCUCAGUCGCGCCAACCCCCGUGCAACAGUAGUGCGCGGCUUGAUUUAGGCUGCUGCUCCUGCGCAGCCGUGUGGCCCCGAGCACCGCCGGCGCCUUGCCGCCUUCCGAGCCGGGGCCUUCUACCUCACUCACUUCCCUCUAGUUGAUCCGAGGACUUUUGAAGCUCUGCACCUCUGGCCUUGAUGUUGGAGGCUCGGUAGAAGCCGAGUUUGGCUCUCUUGCCGACGUCGUCACCGUCACAGCCGGUAGGUGCGAGCUCCGGCACCUCUACCCUCAGGACAACCUUCCCCUAUCCCCUAUCGCUGCCAGUAAGCUUCCAAAGUGCAGGUGUCGCUGCUACUGCGAGUGACUUGAUUUUUAGGCCUUGAUCUUGGCCGACUCACUAUUUCGGCCAUCCGACGCCUCUGGCGACCCUCCGUUAGUGAGCACGGCAUUCCUGAAUGUUGGUGCUGGCCCAUGCUCCCCUGAAUUGCAGGUAACGACACCCGUGAAUUCCUGUUUUCAAUAGUGCCCGCCACGUGUUCGGUAAAAUGACCGAUUCUUGUUUUGACUCUUUCGGGCAAUCCGGGAGUUGAAAAUCAGGUUUCUUUGGAGCGUAGCGAUCGUGAGGAAAAUCUCUUCGCAGUGCUCACCAUAUUGGAGUGAUCCGAAAGGUCGGUAGAGUCGCGAACCCGUCGUGUACCCCAAAUCGGCUCAGCGCGGCCUUUUCCUUGCUCUCCGACGGACAGCAAUUGUCGAAGUGACUCCCUUGCUAGUUCACUGCAGACAGAGGUGCGUCUUCGCCCCAGUGCGCCAUUCAACUCUACUCGCUUAGCUCCAAUCUAGUAAAAUACUUGAAACCCCAUCUUUUGUAUUAUAAUGAUGCGUUGCGUGUAAUAUUGGGGCGACUUGGACUUUUUUUGAUGCUUUAUGUAUUAAGGGUGGUGUUGGGCAACAGUGUUUGAUGGAAAUUGGUGUUCGGACUUAGUGUUCAAGGUUUGGAAUCAUCCCUUGGCUGAUUUGGUGCGAAAUGACACAAAGUGAAGCCGAAAUCGGAUCGAUAGUGUGGAUUUCAAUUGUAUUAUUGAGGAAUCGAUUUUGUUGCUGUCUGGAAUGUUUGUUGAGCCUCGUUGGCUGGUAUAUCUUCGUGUUUUGUGCCCCUCGUGGCAGCGAGUGAACUGUGGGUGGUCCGAAUACCGAAAUAGGUAUUGUUGGACCCAUUUUGGGUCACUUUUGGUGCGACGGCCACCGUUUUGGUCCAUUUUGUUUGCGGCUGUCCCAACACCUAAAAUAUGGUGUUUGGGGACAGCGGGUAUGUCUUAGAGAUGUAUGGUGAGACCCAGGACACUUUGUGAGUUGAAGUGGCAUUUUAGUAAACUUAUGCGGAAGUCAGUGGAUUCGGGAGAUCGAUAUAAGUAUCCAAUGUUCUGUUUGUGUCGGGUUGUAUAGAUGACACGCAGGAUGUUGAUGAUGAUCGUGUUGAUAUUUUCUAUGUACAGGUGACUUCUAGAACUAUCGUUUCGAGUCAAGGACUCGGGUACUUGGUGAGGUGGGUGCUCCAUUCUGAAGUCGGUAAAGUUGUAUCUUACUCGGUUUUCUUUCCAUUUGAUCUAUUCUAUUAAUGGAGUAGGACAACUUCCGUUGACUUCAUAUUGGCUCGUGCUUUUACUCUACAUGCCUAUUGAUUUUCAUGUUGAUUAUCGUGUAGAUUGGUAGACUCUUGAUUGAGCUCUCUCGUAUCUCGUGUGUGACAUGUAGAGUAGGUGAUGAUUUAGUAGAAUAUCCACCUAUGUAUGAUUGGAUCUGAUAGAUCGGUGUGUACUCCUUGUUAAGAUAUGAUCAUGUUGAUCAGUUAGUUUAUCUUUGUUAAGACUUGACAAUAUUAUUGGAGAGUUACUCCAUGAGAUUGACCUAGUUGGUUGAUGUUCACUUCCACAGAUUUUUGACCUAAGGGUCGGUUGACGUAUUCCAUCGUGAUUGGGUUUUUAGCAUGCUCACCUCUGCCACAUGCAUUAUCUUUACCUUUCCUACAUACUCGUUUAGUGUAGCAUGCUAGUCGACCCGGUUAGUUUGGCUCUUGAUAUCUUCAUCGGCAUCUAGUGUGGUUAUCUCUUAGCUCCUAUUGUCGCCUACGGGCAGGGGUUUGACUGUUGAGUCUAGGUUAUUGGAGCUUUGAGCAUAUACAUGUGACUAUAACUUGUACAGCACUGAAGGAGUCCUAGACAGGAUUACUAACCCAGGGUACUUCAGUUGCCAACCCAGUGGGAGGUGAUGUUUCAUAGACAGGGUUCGCCACCCUGAGUUAUGUAACAUACCGAAAUCUCGGUAAUUAAAUUCGAACCUUGGUCAAAUUGACCAAAGUGCGAGGUUGGUACACUUCGGAAAGACCGAAGGCGUCAAAUAAUGCAAAAAUACAUUACUGGGGAUCUUCGAGAGCUUUGGAAAUCAAAAUCUGCAAAACUGCAGGUUUUGUGCUCUCGAGGACCGGUCCCUGGUGGGAGAGACCGGUCCCCGAACGCGUAGGCAGCGAGAUGGCCGAAAAAUCGGCUAAGUCCUGGAAAACCAGCUCUCAGGAACCGGUCCUUGCGAGGAGAGACCGGUCCCAUUGAGGGAGACCGGUUGCAUUGCGCGCAGCCUGCGCAGACUGCGGGAGAAGCUCUCGGGGACCGGCCCCUGGUCGGGGAGACCGGUCCCUCGUUGCGGAAAAUGCCCAGUCUGGGCAGUGCACGGAGAAAAAAGUUGGGGGGCUUAGUUGCAAAUGUUGCAACAUGAUAUAUGGCCCAUCCCUUCUCCUCUUUCACAGCCACUUCACCCUCUCUCAUUUUCUCUCCUCUCUCUCUCUCGAACUCACCUAGGGCUUGAAGGAGAAGAAGAAGAAGAACUUGGAGAAGAGGGAGUUUAGGGUUUUGGUGGUCCAAGGAGCUCACCUACAAGAAGGAACUUGGUAGAACUUGGGCAAAGGUGAGGUUUUGGUCCAAGAGAGUCUAGGGUUUGGAUUUAACCCAAAGUUUUAGGGUUUUGAGUUUGUUUCUAGCUUUAGAAACCUUGUUGAGCUAAGAAACAAUGAAAUCCAUGGUUUUCUUAUAGAGCUCUCAUGGUAGAUCACUAGGAUUCGCAUUAGAAGCCCUAGGAAUGGUUCCAAUAGCUUGGAAAUGGUAUUAGAGAGCUUCCUAGAUGAUUCUAAGCUAUUAUUUGCUUAGAGAGGAGAUCAAUCUAGAAGAAAAUUGCAUAGGGCAUUAUUAGGGCUCAAAUUUGGGGCUUUUGCCCUGGGAUUUUUCGAUGGCGAAUUGACUUCGUAGAAACCUAAUUGGGGGCAUUCUAGACGCGUUGGACAACUCCGUUCGAUGUUACGAAAAUGUUUAAGUAUGGUUCAUGUACAAAAGGCCUAAUAUGGCACUAUUUUGGUUAUAGGACGCGGAGUCGACUUUCGUAAAGUUCGGAAGUCGUCAUAUUCUACACCUACACGACCACGUGAGGUGGAGGGUGCAUUCCGGAAUCGUUGGAUUCUCUUCUAUGUCAAUGUCACUUUUCAUUUGAGCAUAUUGUAUAUAGUCGUUCAUGCAUAUUAGGAUUGCUUACAUGUGAGCCUUGGUAUAACUUUAAUUAUAUGCUUAUAAUGUAGUUGGACGUAAAGAAUGAUAGAACCAUAAUGGACAUAUAUGCUAGAACCCUAAAGAUGUAUGAAUAGGAGACUUGGACCUUGAUCUUAGUAAACAAAGGUGACAUUGACUAUAGAGACAAGAUUGGCAUUGAGAUAGUGAUUGUUAAACAUGGUUUAACCAAGAGUGACAUGAAUAAUUAGGUAGAAAACCUAUUAUGAUAGUGGCAUUGUGACUAAUGGCUAUACGUUCCCAAGUUGGGGAUCGGAUCAAUACUCACGAUAAGUCUUGGCUUGAGGGCGGUAGCUCCCCCUCAAGCGGUGCGCUCCGGAGUAGGUCACCACGGGGAUAGUGACCCCGAAGGACGGUCCCUCAGUGGAAGUGCUCGAAGCCUCCUCGAUCAAAAAGGAUUUUGGGUUGUGAGUCAUUGGGGUUAACAAGGUUAACCGGUAAAAUUGGGUAAAAGCCAAAGGAAAGUAUCGAUCAAGCAUGCAUGCAUAAUUAUUGCUUUCAUAUCUAUAUCCGCUGACAUCUUUAUUGCAGGCAUAUAGUAUUAGCAUUAGUUUGGCUACUAUUUCCUUUCCGUUAAAAUACUUAUGCCUGAAAUAGACCUAGUGGGUAAGUCGGCGAGGUCGGUUGCCGAACCCAUUGGGAACUUCGUUGUAGUUCUCACAUCACUAACCCUACAGGUCCUAGCACGAGCGGGGCGGCGGAGGACCGAGGUAAGGGUUUAGCGCCGUAGAUAGCGGCCACCGGGACCAUCUCACAUUUUGUAGUCAUUUCCCUUUUGGUUUACAUGUAUCACCUUCUUUUGUUGAUUUAGAAAGUUGUAAAGUUGAAAACAAAUAUGUAAUUUGGUGAAUGGCUAAAUGUAAAGAAUUAUGAAUGAAAGCAAAGAAAUGUGAUAGUUCAGUUUACUUUUAUUUGGUUCCAAUGUAAUCAAGUAUCAUGUAUGGUUGAAUAUAUUAGCUUAGAGCUUUCGCUUCCGUUGUUGCUUGCCCUCGUGCAAGCCUUAUAUAAAUGCUAAUCUCGUUGUUUAAUUGCUUUAUUAUACAUGUUGUAGAGCCUUGGUCUGACAGGGGAGGCCCUGUCCGUUCGGCGUCUGUUGACGUGACCCGAACACGACCAAAUUGGCGGGGAUUGGGGCGUGACAAGUUAUCACCCCCAAACUUGAUAUACACUGCGCUUAGACAGAGUUAGCGACUUUGGGUGCGGGUUGAUGUGUCCCUCCAGAGUAAAACUUGAUUUGUGGCCCUUGAGACCUAUGGGCGAGUUUAGGCCGAGUAUUUGUGACGAGCCACAGGGAUUGGGUAUACUUUGGACUACUCGUAUGUCUAGUUGAUGCAUAGUAUCUCGAUGUGAGUCAUGCAUGGUAUCUAGUAGUUGUUUAGCCUACAGUAGUGGCUUUCAUUAUGAGUGACUCAGGUCACUGUACAUCCUUCAUCUUGCUACCAUAGUUGGAUCUUUCAUGUUAGCAUAUGACUUGUUUAAAGUAGCGGUACCUCGCACAUGAUUGUUCGUGAUGACUACUCACUAGUUUUCCUUGCUACUGUGGUUGACUUGUAUUCUUCAUUUCAGUAUCUAGUAGCGGCAUUAUUUUUGUAUUCAGCUCAUGAUAUAUGUUUGACUAACCUUUUUGCUACCAUAGUUGAUUACUCGUUUACAGUUACCUUGCUUAUCAUACUCUUUUGUUUGCCAGUGAGUGCGGCUUGCCCUCGUCGGCUGGUUGCCCCCACUGGGAAACAUAUUUAUAUGUUUCUCACCCCACUGUUUUUACAGGUGCCGUUGACAAUGCGGGUUAGGGCGCGGUGUGAGGACACGGUUGGUUAGCGCCUAGAUAGCUUGUGCCAUGGAUCUCAGUUUCCAGUCUCAGAUUUUACUUAUCUCAGUACCUUGUGAUUUGGUUGUAGUUAUGUGAUACUAUAUGUGUUUGGAGUUUAAUUGCUUUUGGGUUUUCCUAAUAGAGUAGUUUAGUCGAUUCUGGAUUUUGGUAUUGGGUUGAUUGGUAGUUGCAUAAUUAAACUAUCUUGUUCUGCUUGCUUGUGGUUCUGUAUUUGUGCUCCUACGCCGUGCAUGUACAGGGGAGACUCUGUCCGCAUGGAUAGAGGAUGCCCUGUGCGUGUGGCGAGUCUGUGCAUGUCCCGGACAGGAUUUACAAAAAAGAGGAAAAAAUUUAUACGCUUUCCGCAACUCUGUUUUCAAAUUGGAUGGUUUUCUCAAAAAUUAGCUUUCCUAAAAGGGCCCGGAGCGUGACAACUAACCACCCAUCAAAAGUGAUGGGUGGUUAAGAAUUUAGGAGCAUAAGGGUUGUUGUGCUCCUAAUAGCAUAGUAGCCCUAUUAUAAAUAUAAAUAUAUAUAUAUAUAUAUUUAUAUAUAUAUAUAUAUAUAGGCCGUGGCUACUAUACUAUUAUGAGUAUUGGAGCCCUCGUACUCAUAAGUUGUUUUCGAUGAUGGAGCUUCCGAAUCGACGAUCCACUCCAUUAAAAAUGAUCUAGAGUAUUUGAAACUUCUAGAAAAUAAAUUUCGUAAAUUUUCGAAAUCAUAAUAAAGUCCAUCAAGCAGGCAUAAAAUAAACGGUCAAAAUCGAAGGACGUCCUAAAAAAGGAUGAUCGGAUCCUUCAAUUCAAGAUCGGAGUUAUUGAUCUUUAUCUAGGUAGUGAAUAGAAUUUUCUAUCAAAAAUUCAACAAAUUUCAAUUCUUUUAUACUGUUAAACUAGCAAGUAUUCCAUACUGGCGAUUAAAAAUUGUCAAAUUUGUGACCUCUUGAUCGUAAGGUAUAUGAUGUCGAAAAAUUAUAAAAUUUGAUUUCUAGAAGUUUUAAAUGCUGUAAAUAACGUUUAACGGUAUGGAUAGUCGAUUCAGAAGCUCUAUCAUCGAAAACGAUUUAUGAGUACGAGAGCGAUUGUACUCAUAAUAGUAUAGUAGCCGGACCCUAUAUAUAUAUAUAUGUAUAUAUAUAUAUAUAUAUAUGUAUAUAUAUAUAUAUAUAUGUAUAUAUAUAUAUAUAUAUAUAUAUGCUUUUAGAAGCACGGUAGCCUCCGUGUUGUCAAAUCGUUAUCAAUGCCGAGACUUCUGAAUUCACGAUUGGCUCUAUUAAACUUGGCUAGAGAAUUUAAAGUAUCUAGAAAAUAAAUUUUGCAAUUUUUCAAAAUUAUUUACCUAGUGAUCAAGAGAGAUCAAAAUUGAUGGCUGAAAAUAAAAAUUUCACAAAAAUAAGAUAUGACACUAAAAUUUUAUAUCAAAAAUAUCGAUCUUGUUUUAUAUAGUAUAAAGAUUUUUCUAUUAAAAUUUAGUGUAAUUUGGAUAUUUGCACACCAAUAAACUUGCAAACGGCACACCACGAUAUUGAGUUUGGGCCCAUUCGAUCGCUAGUAAAUGAUAUCGGAAAAUUACAAAAUUUAUUCCCUAGCUACUUCAAAUACUCUAAAUUAAGUCUACGGAGCCAAUCGUCAAUCCGGAAAUCCGAGCGUCGAUAACGACUUGAUAGCACAUAGGACACCGUGUUCCUAAAAGCACAUGAGCCUAGUCUAUAUAUAUACACAAAUAUUUAUGCACGCGUGUGUGUAGAAUCCGACUUGUGUGCUUUUAAAAAUACAGAGGCCUCUGUGCUAUCAAGUUAGAGAGUGGGACUUCCGACUUGACGAUCGGCUCCGUUAAAUUUAAUCUACAGUAUUUGAAGUAUCUAGAAAAUAUAUUUCAUAACUUUUAGAUAUCAUUUACCUAGUGACCGAAAUGACUCAAAAUCAAUGGCUGAAAAUAAAAAUCUCACAAAAAGUGAUGACAUAACUAAAAUUUUAGAUCAAAGAUAUUGAUUAUGGUUUAUAUAGUAUAAUGAAUAUUCUAUCAAAAUUUUACCUGAUUUGGAUAUUUCUACACUAUUAAACUUGCAAACUACUUACCACGACCAUUAAAAUUGUUGAUCGUACUCAUAAUAGUAUCAUAGUAUGGUAGCCAGACUCCUAUAUAUAUACUNUCAGCGCCGCGCCGGAGCUGCCCCAGCCUCCUCUCCUUCCACCGCCAACACGCCCGCUCCCGCUCCUUCUCCCGCUCUCGUACUCCCACUCUCCGCUCCGCCCGGCAAAGACGAAGGCGAAGGCGAAGUCGGAGGAGGAGACGACGGGGAAGCCGCUCUCUUUUUUUUACUACUCUCUUUUUUUCCUCCCUCUUUCUCCUCUCUCUUUUACAUUAUUCCCAUAAAACCAGUCAAACGACUUUUAAGCCUGGCUUAGACGUUUUUGCUUUUCCCACCGGGUGAAAACGUUUUCGGGUUUUAAUCACCUAACAAAUACGUUUAACCGGUAUAAAAUUAAGUUUUUAACUUUAAUUAAAUUUCAAAUUUAUAAACCCAGAUAUUUGUCCGCCAAAGUUCAUUUUUUAUUAAUUAAAUGAACCUUUUAUGUUAGAUACAGAGGUUAUUGAUAAAUAUAACUUUAAUACCUAAGUUUUAAUCGAAGUUUAAAACUCAAAAUAAGUAUUUAAAUUUAGACUUAAGUAAUUAAAUUUUAAAUUUUUUUUUCCCUCUCCGACUCUCCUCCACCGUCUCCGACAACGAAACCUCUCCCGCCCUUCCCCGCCCUUCUCGUCCUCUCCCUCUCCCUCCUCUGUCACCUUCGACAACGACGCAUCUUCGUCAACGCUGACACCGUGGAGGUCGCUGCGGCGCUGCAGCCUCGGAGCGGGGGGUGCUUAGCGGCGUUGUCGCCGGCGCUGAAAGAGAAGGGUGACAAAAAAAAUAUAGAAGAAAAAAAAAUAAAGAUAAAAAAUAUAGAAAAAGAAAGAUGAAGAUAAAAUUGUGCAACAAGAGGAGAAACAGUGUAACAAAAGGAGAAAUAGUGCAACAAGAGGAGAAACAGUGCAACAAAAGGAGAAACAGUAUAAAUAUCUCUUAAAGAGAUGCAGUUUACAUCUCAAAGGGUGCAACAAGAGGAGAAACAGUGUAAAUAUCUCUCAAAGAGUGCAAUUUUCGUUUAAAGAGUGUAACUUUCAUCUUAAUGGAUGCAGUUUAUAUCUGAAAGAGUGCAAUAAGAGGAGAAACAGUGUAAAUAUUUUCCAAAGAGUGCAAUUUUCGUUUAAAAAGUGUAAUUUUUACCUUAAAGCUGCAAUUUACAUCUUAAGUAGUACAACUUAUAUCCAUAAUAGUGCAACAUUUUUUUAAAACAGUACAAUUUUAUUUUAACAGUACAAUUUCAUCUUCAUCUUUCUUUUUCUAUAAUUUUUUAUCUUUAUUUUUUUUUCUUGCUUUUUCUAUAAUUUUUUUUGUCACCUCUCUCUGCCAACGGCCACGGUGCCGGUGACGACGCCGCUAAGAACACCCCCCCGAGGCUGCAGCGCCGCAGCGACCUCCACAGUGUCGGCGUCGGCGAAGAUGCGUCGUCGUCGAAGGCGGCAGAGAAGGAUGGAGAGGAAGAGGACAAGAAGGGCGGGGAUGGGCGAGAGAGGCGUCGUUGUCGGAGACGGUGGAGGAGAGUUGGAGAGGAAAAAAAAAAUCGCGGCGCGGCCUCGAUGGGGUCGAAGGCGAGGAAGGUGGGGGGUGCGCGGGCGAGGGCAAAGGCGAGGGCAAGAGCAUAAAGGUGAGAGGCGAGGUGGGCGGUUUUCGCCUCCUCUGCCUCCGCUGCUUUCUUCGGCGAGAGAAAAAAAAAUGAACGAGAGAAAAAAAAAAAGGAGAGAGAAAGAGGAGAGAGAAAAAGUAAUAAGUGUAUUUUGGUCAGUUUGAUGAAAAUUCGGACCGAAUCUGCAAAACGAAAAAUGUUGGCCACUUUUGCAAAAGCCCAAAAUUAGUGGAUUUUUUAUGCAAAUUGGCCUUAAAAUAUGGAUUCACGUUUGAAAUUAUGAAUCAAACUUAAAAUUUAAAGUUAAUUCGAUAAGCUUGUUCUAAAACAUUGUAUGUUUCAAGUUUAAUUUGUUUUUAGUCGAAUACUAUUAAUAUCUUCAAUGUGUGUUUCGUACAGAUAUUCUUAUUUCGAUAAGUAUGGAAUAUUCUUUUAUAGAGCGACUGUGAUCCUUCGGUUGGCAGAAAUUUGGAUAAAUAUGAAUUUUUUUCUGUUUCCACAAAUAAAAUGCAAUAUUUUUUCCUCCUAAAAAAAAGGUCUAUCAAUAACUAUUUUAAUAGUUAUCUCAAAUCAACAUAAAUUUAUUAAUCAUAUUUAUCCAAAAAAUUAAAUUUUAAGAAAGUAAAUUUAGCUGUUAUAAUUUAUUCGAAAAUAUUUCAUAUCCUAAUUCAAAUUCAAAGAGUUAUUGCUGACAAUAAUUAUAUAGUUCUAUUUUUUUCUUGUUAUAUACAUUUGAGUAUUUUUUUACUUUUUUCGAAUUCUGACAAAUCUAAAUUCAAGUAUAAAUUUUAAAUUAAAAGUAUCAAAAUUUUAAUAUGUUUAAUUCAAAAUGUCACAUUCAAUUUUAAAUUAAAUUUAUAUUUAUUUUUUAAAUUUAAAUUAUUAUUGUGGUAUGUGUCUAUUUAUUAUUUGAUUUUUUUCUAACUUUAGUUUAUCUCCAAAUAAGUUUUAUAUAUUUUCAAUUUAGUUAUACUGUAAAUAUCUUUAUUUGAAAUGAAUAGUUCAAAAUGACUGGACACGAAAGUAUUACUAAAAAGAUAGAGAUAAAGAAAAAAAGCAAAACUUACGCUUUUAUAAGAAGUAUAGAUAUAUAGAAUUGAGCUUAGGAUUGAGUGCAUGGUUGGUUGAAUAGUAUGAUCUAACGAGUGGAAAUGGUCAAAGGGAUAGAUCUAAUGGCGGAAAACUUACAAACACCAAGUGUUUUGUGCUUUUAAGUAUAUAUAUAUAUAUAAUAUAUAAUAUAGAGCUAGGCUGGUCAUAUAACCUGGUAGCAUUCGCGAGGCCUCCGUGCUACAAUUUUUUCAAUGAUGCGCGUCUAAAUAGACCGAUCGACUCCGUUAGACUUGAUCUACACUAUUAAACAUAUUUGAAACUAGAAUUUCAUAAAAUUUAUCGGCAUCAUUUACCUAUCCUCAACGAUGUAGUCUAAAAAUUGAACGAGGUUGCUGAAAUUAAAAAAUUCUCAUAAAAACAGUGAUUAAGAAUUUAAAUUCAAAUGCGAAAUUGUGGUCUUGCUAUAAUAUUAAGUAGAAUUUCUAUUAAUUUCAUCUAAUUGGUAUACUUCUAGUCAUAACCGUUGAGCUUAAAAUACGCAUCAAUAUCUACAUUAAAAUUGUUAAUGUUUGAACCAUUUUGAACUCACUAGCCAAAGAUGUUCGAAAAAUUAUGAAUUUAGUUUCCAAAUCACUUUUAAUAGUGUAAGACAAUUAACGGACCUGCGAUCGUCGAUUUGAAAGCCGCAUAAUUGAAAACAACUUGAUAGCACGGAGGCCUCCGUGGCGCUACCGAUAGUAACCACAGCUCUCUGCUCCUCUAAUAUAUAUAUAAUAGUAUAUCAUAUAUAUAUAAGAUACUAAUAUAUAUAUAGUCUGGCUACUAUACUCUUAUGAGUACGAUCAACCUCGCACUCAUAAGUCGUUUUCGAUGAUAGAGCUUCCAAAUCAACGAUCCAUAUCGUUAAAUAUUAUCUAGCGUAUUUAAAACUUUUAAAAAUCAAAUUUCAUAAUUUUUCAACAUCAUUUACCUUACGAUCAAAAGGUCACAAAAUUGACAAUUUUUAAUGGCCGGUAUGGGAUACUUGCUAGUUUAACGGUGUAAAAGAAUCGGAAUCCGUUGAAUUUUUGAUAGAAAAUUCUAUUCACUGCCUAGAAAUAGAUCAAUAAGUCAGAUUUUAAAUUGAAUGAUCUGAUCAUCCAUUUUUAGGAUGCCGUUCGAUUUUGACCAUUCAUUUUAUACCCACUUGAUGGACUCUAUUAUGAUUUCAAAAAAUUACGAUUUUUUUUUAGAAGUUUCAAAUACUCUAGAUUAUAUUUAACAGAGUGGAUCGUCAAUUCGGAAGCUCCGUCAUCAAAAGCAACUUAUGAGUACGAAGAGCUCCAUACUCAUAAGAGUAUAGUAGCCCUACUAUACUCAUUAUACCAAGAGCUCUAUACUCAUAAGAGUAUAUAUAUAUAUAUAUANAAAAAAAAUAUAUAUAUAUAUAUAUAUAUAUAUAUAUAUAUAUAUAUAUAUAUAUAUAUAUAUAUAUAUAUAUAUAGUGUGAGGCUACUAUGCUUUUGGAAGCACGGAGCCUUCCGUGCUUCCAGGUCGUUUUCGAUGUUGCGACUUUCGAAUUGUCGAUCGGCUCCGUUAAACUUGAUCUAGAGUAUUUGAAGUACCUAGAAAAUAAAUUUUAUGAUUUUUCAAUAUCAUUUGCCUAGUGAUCGAAGGGGCUCAAAAUCAAUAAUUUUAAUAGCCGUAGUGAGCAGCCUGCAAGUUUAACGGUGUAGAAAUAUCCAAAUCACGUGAAAUUUUGAUAGAAAAUUCUUUAUACUAUAUAAAACAAGAUCAAUAUCUUUGAUUAAACUUGAUCUAGAGUAUUUGAAGUACCUAGAAAAUAAAUUUUAUGAUUUUUCGAUAUCAUUUGCCUAGUGAUCGAAAGGGCUCAAAAUCAAUAAUUUUAAUAGCCGUAGUGAGCCGCCUGCAAGUUUAACGGUGUAGAAAUAUCCAAACCACGUGAAAUUUUGAUAGAAAAUUUUUUAUACUAUAUAAAAUAAGAUCAAUAUCUUUGAUCUAAAAUUUUAAUGUCAUAUUAUCACGUUUUGUAUGAUUUUUAUUUCGAAAAAUCGCAUAAUUUAUUUUUCUAGAUACUUCAAAUACUCCAGAUCAAGUUUAAUGGAGCUGAUCGACAAUUCGAAAGUCGAAACAUGGAAAACAACCUGGAAGCACGGAUCCAGAAGCAUAGUAGCCUCACUCUAUAUAUAUGUAUAUAUAUGUAUAUACGUAUAUAUACAUAUACAUAUGUAUAUGUAUAUGUAUAUCUACAUAUACAUAUACAUAUACAUAUAUAUAUAGAAUAAGUCUCCUAUACUAUCAAUAGUACCGGGGCUCCGGUACUGUAGUCUUGUUUUCGAUCUUAGGGUGUUCAAAUCAACGAUCCACACCAUUAAAAUUGAUCUAGGGUAUUUAAAGUUUUUAGAAAUAAAAUUUUAUAUUUUUUCGACAUAGUUUAUUUUAUGAUCAAACUAUUUCAAAAUUGUCAAUUUUCAAUGGCUACUAUGGCAAGUUUGGAGUUUAACGGUGUAGAAGAAUCUAAAUUUCUUCAAAUUUUGAUAGAAAAUACUUUAAACUAUCUAGAUUAAGGUUAACAUUCUUGAUCUUGAAUUUAAAAAUCCUAUGCUCAAAUUUUAAAGAUUAUUCAAUUUCCACCGUCCAUUUUGACAUAAUUUAUUUACUAAGUAAACGAUGUCAAAAAAAACUAAAAUUUUAUUCCUAAAAACUUCAUAUACCCUAAAUCAUAUUUAACGGUGUGGAUCGUUAAUUUGAACACCCUAAGAUCGAAAACAAGACUAUAGUACCGGAGAUCCGGUACUAUAGAUAGUAUAGUAGCCUAAUUCUAUAUAUAUAUAUAUAAUUAUAAAUAUAGUAUAAUGAGUUGGAAUGGUUUUAAAAGCACCAAGGCCUUGGAGCUUUUAAGUUUUUGGUCCUUGGAUCAAACUUGGAUCAAUUCUUUUAGUAAUUGGAUCAAAAGUCAACAAUUGAUGGCUCAUGGUGGCCCCUAUUGUGCAUGAUCCAAAGGCCAAAAGACUUGAUCCAAAGGGCUUAUAAGGUUAAUAACACCAAAGAGUUGGUGCCUUUAAAAGUGCCCCAACUAAACAUAUAGAGAGAGAGAGAGAAAGGAGAAUCAAGGCAGGGAGGAGAAAGAGUACCCUGUACGCUGCACUUUGAGGCACCCGCGCUAAUGGAUGUGGGAACUCAUUAGUUGGCCUGCCGACAAGAAUCGGCAGUUAGAAAGUGCAACAUCAUAUCAAAUUUAAGAAAUUUAUAGUACUGGUUUUGGAUAAUAAACGGCAUAAUUGCUGCAGAGAAGGCAGGCCAAACUCCAGUUAGCAGGUUUGAAAUAUUAUGUAAUCAGUAAUCCCCCUUGUUGCACAAAUAAACACAAUUUUUAAUCUAUAAUCCUAGAGUGUAGGCCUGUUGAGAAGUUUACUAGGACUAGUAAAGUCCAAUGUACCUACAUGGCAAGCAUCACUCAUAUCACACAGCCGAUAACCAAACAACCUCAAUAUAACUGUCAAAUCAUGAUUAAGAUAUUUGUGCAAAUCAAAAUAUUUGUAAAAUUACAAUCGAAUGUAAAAUUACAAUCAACUGAUCCAGCAUAACCUUUCCAGGACGUUGAGAGUUAUUUCAAUUGCCAUCCAUAUCAUCCUGAGCGUGCUACUAUGUCUGCUCACAGGCAUAAUAUGACUAUCCUAGGAAUCAGUUGCCCUUUGUUCUCCUUAAUUCUAUUUCUAUCAUGGGCAGAAGACGUAGCAGAAGACGUAAAAUGAAACAGCUAAACUGAGCUAAGGGCUUGUGUGAAGGGAAAAUAAGAUCAACCGGAAAAAGCAUUGAACCUUCUGUUCCAACGUUUUGAAAUGUCACUAUUGACCUUAAAAGUAGUUAUAAAUAAAGAAGGUUCACCAAACUUGGAAUCAAUUUUAUUUGUCAUCAUCAUUAAGACACUCACCAUCAUUAUAAGGAAAAUCUAAUAGAUAUCACAAGUCACAACAUAAGCAGCAUCCAAACAGUCUCAACAUAUUAGCCCAGAAAUCCAGAAUAUCUUUUUGAAUGAUCUUUUAAACCUUAUGUUAACUUUCAAUAGCAUGUAAGACCAUAAAAGAGUAAAGAAAAUCAAGUGCAAAAGUGCAAAAUAGUAAAAGAAUACAACUUGGGAACAAAAGAAGCAAAUUCGUACUGGUUUUGAUCUUUGAGUCACAUAUUCAAUCUAUCACACAGGAGAGGAGAAAGAUUACAGCAUCUAGAGAUUAAUAAAACAGAACAUGAAUGAUUAGAAAAAAUCAAAUUGAUGUUACUUAGUUUGCAAUUGAUGAAACUUACGUCCAUGGCAUUGUAAAGAAGAUGUGAAGAGGUACACCAAGAGCUUCAGCGACAUGUGCAUGUCCUGCAAGCAUGAUUACAAAUCAGGAUAACCGAAAAGAUAGUCUAGAUGAAUUGCAGGUAUUGCUUACUAAGAGGUGGAAUUGUUCUUAAAAUAUUCCAUGUUACUAUUGCACGUGAUUAUCCCAAAUUCAAGCAUAUAAGUGACUAUUACUGUAAGGAAGUGAAUUCUCAAAAUACGAGAGUUGAACUUCGUUUAGAAUCGACUGACUGUCAAUUGGGUACGCUUCGGAAAGACCAAAGGCGUCAAAAACCCAAAAAGUGCAUUGAGGAGGGCCUCGGAGAGCAAGAUAGAGGAAUUCUGCAACUUUGCAGAUUUUGCUCUCGGGAACCGGUCCCUGGUAGGAAAGACCGGUCCCGUAAGCAGAUUGUGCGGCAGAAAAACUCUGCGCGCGAUGUUUGCUCUCGGGGACCGGUCCCUGGCAGGAGAGACCGAUCCCCGUACGCACAAAAUCGGGCAGAGCCCUCUGCCCGCAGAAGUUGCUCUCGGGGACCGGUCCCUCCAGGGACAGACCGGUCCCUGUAGCCCGAAAAUGCCCAGGCUGGGCUGUGUCAUGUUGGACAAGUGGAGGGGCUUUUAUGCAUUUGUAGCAUAAGUGGAGGGGUAUAGAAGGGAAUGAGCUCUCUCUCUCCCUCAUUUCUUCUAAACCCAACCUAAACCUAGCUCCCUCUCUCUCUAAACUCUCUUUCUCUCUCUCUAAAAGGGUGAAGAAGGAGGUGGAUUUGGUGGAGAACAAGAUCAAAGGAAGGAUUAGCAUCUUCUUCUUCUUCCUCUCCACUAUUAGAGCAAGCUUCUUGAGGUAAGCUUUGAGAGCUUUCAUGGUAGAUCCCUCUAGAUGGGUUUUUAUCUCCUAGAAUUGGUUUUGUUGGAACCCUAGCUCGCCAAAUAGAGGGAAUAUGCAUGAAUCUAGAGCUUCGUUGAGGGAUUCUUGCAUUGGUUGAAACCUAGGGCUCCAAAUUGGGGUUUUUGGAAAUCGAUGGGUUUGAUCUAAAUUGAUCAUGUGAAAACCUAAUUGCUAGGUGUUUAAACGCGUUGGAAGUGACGGUUCGUCGAUUCGUCGAGCGAGUGCGAAGGUAUAGCCGAAACGAGUGUUCGUGGCUUCGUGUUGAUCCGAAGAGUCGAAGCGGCGACUAAGGAACGUGCAAUCGAGAACCUAGCUUGGUGACACUACCAAAAGGUGGGAGGUGUCAUCCCGAAGCAACUGGGCUCCUCCCUAUGUCUAAGUACAUUAUGUUGAUCAUAUUCCUUAUGCAAUCGUAUGCAUGAUAGGGUGUUUAGAUGUUGCAUUUACGAUUCUUACAUGCUCCCUUGUAGUGCGGCAUAGUAGGCUUGGCACGUGAGUUUAGGGUGCAUGAGAAUGAGCCGUUGUGACAUAGAACCCUAUAGAGAUAAGAUAAGUAAUAACUUGAUCUUGCAUUGACGAAUAUGAUGAUAUAUGACUAGUGUAGUCGAAACAUUGCACCAUGACAAGUGGCAUGUGAACCAAGUGAGUAACUUGACGAGUGGCAUUAGGGCUUAGUGUUAAAAGAACACUUGUGACAUGAUGACUUAGGGAUAGGUGAGUCUCCCUACUUGACACCUUGCAUGAGAUCGGUGUGAUGUCGAUGACCCUAGUGACAGGGUAUCCUCCGUGACGAGGAUUGGAUCAUACUGACAUAGUCUGUUCAGCGCUUGUGGCGGUCGGUCCGCACAAGUAGUGCGCUCCGGAGUUUGGCACGUGUAAGAUUGGGAUAGCCUAUUUGGGGUCCCAAGGGAUAGCCUAUGUGGGGUCUCGCAGACGGUCCCUCGGGUGGUUUGAGUCUCCCGUUAUAGAGGGAUUUCGAGAUGUGAGUCGAGGGCGCGCCUACGGGCCAACCAGAGGAUUGGGUAAUGAAUUCGAAAGAAUUGUGCAAUUUGAGCAUAUUGAGCAUAGUAGAGUUGCAUUCGUGCUUGAUAGAGUUAUAGUAGUAUGUUAGUGUUUACAUGGCUAUGUUGGUUACUCUUGUUUCUCAAGGCAUAGUAGAAUAGUGCAAUUCUUUAAAUAUGCAUCAGUUUCAGUUUUAGAUAUCUAUCUAUCUAUCUAUCUGCUUAUGCCUGCUUAGACCUGGUGGGGAGAUCGGCGGAGUCGGCGGCCGAACCCACUGGGAACUAUGGACUAUAGUUCUCACCCCACUUUGUUGCAGAGCCGAGUUCGAAUACUCCCGGCGAGGACCGUGGUAAGGGCAUCGCGCCCUAGCUUAGUAGCAGCUACCCUACGCAUUAGAGUACUGAUGUACCUAAGAGUUGUGAUGUAUUUUGAGGGAGUUGCUUAUGUAUUUUGGAUGAACAUUAUAUAUAUUCAUUUUGGAGAGUUACAAAUGUAAACUGAUGUAAAUGAAUGAUUGAAUGGAUGUAAUAGAUAGACGUAUCUCUCUUUAUUCACUUGUAUCAUUACUUGUGUCUUGCUCUUACUUGUUAGCACUAGUGGUGCUCUAUGUUAAUCAUGUAUGUUGUUGAGUUAUUCCGGGGCGACUCAUGUACAUGAUUGCUAUGGUGUAGCCUUGGGCGGACAGGGGAGGUGUUGUCCGUCCGGCGUCUGUUUAACGCGCUCGAACCGGACCAAAUUGGUAGCGGUUUCGGGGCGUGACAAUUACCAAAUAAUACAAUAUUAAUUCUGUUUUGGGCAUUUUUCACAAACACUAAGGGCCCGUUUGUUUUGGUGUAAGUGGAGUGAUGGAACUCAAGUUCCAUCACUUCCGUUAUUUGUUUUGAUGUAAAUGAAAAAUAUAAUGUAACUCAAGUUACGUUAGAGCUCCACUUCACCUACUCUCGACUUCCGGCUCUAAAGUACCGAACUCGACUUCCACCACACUCAACCUUCUCUAAACAAUUUAUUAAACAGUAAAACCUAAACUCUACUUUCUUUAUAAUGGGUUAGAAUUACCUUAUUUAUAAUAAAUUAAGAUUAUCUUUAAAUAAUAAUAAAAAAUUUAAUUAUAUAAUAGGUUAAAUUUUAUAGUGAUAAAUUUAUUACUAUAUUUAGGAGAUAAUGGGAUCCACUUACUUACAUCAAAACAAACAACGGAACUCAAAAAACUAAUUUUACCAGCACCAAGUUACAUCAAAACAAACAGCAGAAGUGAUUGAAUUUAACUUUCAGUGGUACGAGUUAAGUCAAAACAAACAACAGAAAAAUAAUCACACUUCAGGGAAACUCAAACACCACUACACUUGACUUACGUUGAAUCUACAAAUUCGUCAAUCCAAACGCCCCUUAAAAGUCCGGUAAUCUUAAUUUAUUUUAGAUACGGGUACUUCUAGGAAGAAGGCACAAUUUACACAAAGGGGGCCAACCAUAUAACAAAAGGCUAGCCUGCGAUGCAUAGAUCCUUCAUUUUAUUUCCCAUGUCUGAAUCCGGUACAUAUCAGAUACUAAUACGCGAAUGAUACACGAUCCAUUCAUGUUGGAUACUCUACUGAAAGUAUCCAAAUUUUCUUAAAAUUGAGAAAAUACCAAAUAUUUGAAGGAUACAUGAUGGAUACGUGAAGACAGUUGCAAGAUAAGGGCAAAGUUAUUUUGGUGCUAAUUGAGGACGAAAUCAUUCUCAAGCGGCCUAGAUCCAAAAGAUUUGUUAUAUGAGUUGUCUCACUUCGGCAUUCGGGUGACACGAAUUCGUAGUUACUAAAAACUAAACAUUAUAAUUGAGAUGAUUCAUUUUGUUUCUUGACAAACAAAAGUCAACUUUAUCUACAUCUUUAGACAAAUUAACCAAUUAGUUGCCUUACAUAAACUAAUUAUGAAAUAAAUAUGAAACAACCGUUAUUCUCCAAAAGCUUUAAGCUGAUAGAGAACGAUGUUUUUAUAUUUUUAUAUAUAGCAUUCCCCCUCAUGUCUAGGCUCAAAACUUUUUGAUGCGCCCAUGAUAUGAAAAAUAAAAUAGGAGGAAAUCAAUUAUCCUAGGCUUCCUAGCUCCUAGGAGUCUAGCAUAACUCGAACUCUGGACCUCCUGCUGUAAUUGUAGUACACUGAAUUUUACUAUAUAUGCAAGUGUAAAUAAAAAUAGUAUAAGAUACUAUUUUUCUUGGACUUAGAGAAGUAAAAGGUAAGUCAAAAAUGACUUGUGCUGAAAUUGAAAUGAAAAUAUGUGAUUUAUAAUUUUCUGUUAGGAACGAGACUUAUAUUUCAGCUGAAAAAUUUAGUGUCAGAAAAUUAUGAAAAUUUGAAAAUAUGUCGAAACUAUUUUUCUGAGACCAGAUUUAAAAUUUCAUGUCAUUUCGACACCUGAGCAGUGAAAAACAGAGCUUGACAACAAUCUGAUAAAGAUUCUAGUCGGUAGAGCUUUCGAUGACCAAAAAUGAUUCAUAACUGAAAAGUUAAGAUAACGUACGCUUGAUUGACUUUAAUUAUGUAUGUCAAAUUUGAGAGCAAAAGGAUAUUCAAAAGGACUCCAAUUAGACGUAUCAGAUCUGAACAGGACUAAACUGCAAAUUGCAAUAGUAUUGGGGGGCUUAUAUGUAUACGCCACCUCUCGCUCUCCCUAGUUCUCCCCCACACACGAGAGAAAAGGGAAACCCUUCUCUCUUCCUCUCUAGCACCUCUCUUUCCCUUUCUCUUAUAAUUUCUGUGAGAUCCCUGGUGUUUGACUGUGGAGACUUGUCGACAGCUCUGGAGAGUGUCGGGACAAGUCCGAGUCGCGUUGGCGUCAAAUAGACGCAAAACGGACUCCGUGCGACGCGAGGGCAACUUUCAGCGAAGAAAAUCUGCAAACUGCAGAUUUUCUGCUUGCUGUACCGGUACAGCCAUCAAGGUGUACCGGUACACUACACUGGGCCGCGCGCGGGUUGCUCUCGGGUUGGCUCCUGUNGGGAGAAACCGCCUCUUUAACAGUGCGGGGCCUAAUGUGCAAGGGGCCCGUGCGGCUGUCUAGGCGGCAUAUGUUUCUUUAAAAGGGACAUAUGCUUCGCUAUCGACAUGGACAUUUAGUUUGUGAUGAUGCUUGUCAUCAUCUCUCGACGAUCUCUUUUGACUUCGAUUUAUUUUGUCUCAAAGUAUAUGUAUCAAGCCUAGGGUUUAUGUCUCGAUGAGCGUGACCGCUCAAUUCAGUUGAUACAUGUGUUUGAGCUUUGUUUUGUAGAUGGACGUCAUCCCGUGGAGAUCGAGUCGUGCAGCCCAUCCCGAGAUUGAGCGCUGCGGGAACGGAGCUAGGACUAGGUGCCUGCCACGUCGUCGGCCUUGGACACCGAGACGUUUUUGUAUCCAUUGUUGACCCGCACUCUUGAUGACAUUUUUGUUCAUCAGGAGUCACCCAUGGCGGGUUUUGUUGUAGCCAGUGGGUGAUUCAGAUGUCUUCCCUCGUUCCUAUCUUCCUUUCGUCCUUCGUGUGAGAUGGCGAUAGUAGGUGAUGUGAUAGUACGAGAUGCGAUUGGUUGACAUCCUUUACAGUUUAGACUGGGUUAGGUUUGGCCCUGACAUUCGUAUGGGCAGGGACGGGGCAACGCUGAUAGUGCGAGAUAGGUGCGAUUGACCAGGCACCUCUCGUUCAGGUUGACCGUACUCGCUGUGGUUGCGUUUUCGUGUUCGGACUGAGGCCUCACCGUGAGCACCCGCGAUGGGUUGGCUCAUACGUCGCAUAGAGACAGCUCGAGUUAGUCCGAGGUUGAUCGGUUUCAGUUCAUUAGCUGAGUUUGACCAGAUUGUUGGUUGUCCAUUGCACGGGAGCCGUGUUAGACUGCGGCUUUUCCGCUAUGCCUAGGUGGCAGUUGAGACUGCCGUGGGUUGUCAGACUUUGUUGGACUUGCUGGGACAUUUUUAGGUGAGCCGCUUGGUCGUGCUCACAUUUAUAUAAGAUUUGAUGGACCUCAUGAGCAGAGCUUCUUUGACACUGUCAUGUUAAAAGAUUGCCAAGGAUCUCGAUUUAGUCCAUCAAUUUUGACCACUGUCCAGGUUUAGCGUCCAAAAGAGGAUUAAGUUAAAAGUUCAGGUUGUACAUAUUAGAUGAAUUAAAUAUUUUGUACGAGGUUUUAAGUCUCAAGUGUUAGAUGUAUAUCAGGUACUUAAACUCGAUUGUGUUAAAUGGCUUUAGUUCUAGAUAUGUACAGCUGGUUAUUCUUGAAUCCUCAUUUCGGCUACAUUGGGUGGAGCUUUCGAUAGGGGGCCGUCGCCAUGUGAGAGUGUCGACACCGCGGUGGACGACCCAGUUAGCAUCGGAAAGCUUGGGUUCCUAGCGUGAUUGAGGUUCGAGAUGUGGUUUGUUAAGUGGCAAAGUCAGAUCAAAAGCGUCGUCACCUCAUGUUGAUCCUAAGCUGGUUCGAUUGGAAGUGGUUUUAAGCGUUCAUUCCCGAAGCACCUAAGGAGAGCGUCAGGGCUUAGGUUGCUUGGUUCAGAGCAGCGUUAGGCUACGAGGAUGCAGCUCUUGCUCGACUUUAUGAUUGUCAGCUGCCACCUAAAGUCGUUUGUUGUUAAAUGGCUCAACUUCAUCAUUUUUGAACGGGUUUUAGGUCCCUUUACGACUUAAUGAGUGGAGCUGUUGUGGCCCGUGGCGACGCUGUCUUUUUGCCGCUUUUGGAGGCGAGCGGGCCGGAAGAGCGUCGUUGUGCUGCUGCCUUCAUACGGGCUUGCCGAGGCGCCGCGCUGCAGCCGCUGCUUAGGCUCGAGGGAGAACGGAAGUUGGCCUACCCUCUCACUCUCUCUACCUCUUAACGUCGUUCUUCCGGAGAGAGAGAGAGGGAUGUGCUUUGAUAUAUCUCCCCUCACUCCCCUCUAUGUUUGCUCCCUCUCUUUUAAUGAGUAAAUCGGGAGAUGGAUGGGAGAACAUGGCCAUGUGCCCGAGGACAUGGCCAUGUUCUCGGUUGGGCUCUCGUCGAUUUAGACACGCGCAUCGAACAUGGCCAUGUCUUUUGGGAACAUGGCCAUGUCGUUCGUAAGGGGCGCGACCAACAUGGCCAUGUCGUAGUAGAACAUGGCCAUGUCGUUCGUCCUUUUAGACGACAAAACGUCUAAGGAAGCGCUAUUCGACGGGAGCGCAGCGUGCCUCAGGCAAAAUGCAGAUAAACUGCGGUUGCGCUGAGCCCGAACAGGGCUGUGAGAGAUCUCGACAGCUGUUCGGAGGUGUCAGUUUGUCAAAAAAUUGGAGAUUUUGGAAGCUUCAAGUUGGAGAAAAAGUAACACCUCUCUUUCCCUAUCUCUUAUAAUUUCUCCGUCAAAGAGGGAAAAAAAUUGGAGAUUUUGGAAGCUUCAAGUUGGAGAAAAAGCUUGGAAGAGCUCUCUAAUGGUGGAUCUCUUGCUUAAGCAAGAAGAAGUUGGAAAGCAUGGUGGCCAAGGUAAGAUUUCAUCGAUUUGAGUUAGAGUUUGGAUUAAAUUCUUUGAAAAUGAUAUUUUUGGAAGUCCUUGAUGAUUCUAAACUAGAUUGGGUAAAGGUUUACCAAUUACCAUAGAUUUUGGAGUUUUCUUAUAGAACUUGAAACCUAGGGUUAGAAUUGAGGUUUUUGCCCCUAAGAGAUUUGGAACUAAAUUGACCUUAUAAAUCCCUAAUUAAAGGAUAGUUUGACGCAAGGGACAACUUCGAUUUGAAUUACGACGAAGUUAUGGCAUCCAAUUGGAGAAAUUUGAGGAAUUUCAUUCGUUAGGCUUGAAGCAUGUCGAAUCGGCGUCAGAAAUCAAAUUGCUUGGAAAUCCUAGCAAUUGGCAAUCAACUAAGGUGAGUAGUGCUCUCCGAAAUGGUUGGAAAUCCCAUUCCUUGAACAUAUGUAGAUGUGAAUAAAUUGUAUGUAACAGGGUUCAAUUAAUUCUUAUUCCAGAAAUUUGUAUGCCUUCUGUAAUAUAUGAGAAUAAUUGUGAUUGAGAACUUCAAACUUAGGAUGCAUAAACUUGGUGACAUGUGAACCCUAGUGAUGUAUUGAAUUAGUAGUUUGGACAUAGAAAACAAAAGGUGGACAUUGGAAUAAAGUUAAUACUAGGUGCCAUUAUGAUGUUAAACGUAAACCUAGUGAUGGAACAAUGGAUUGGAUAUGAUUUGUUAUGGAUAAAAAGAAUAUGGCAUAAAUUGAGAGAAUCCCAAGUUUAAAUAUGGAAUUGAGUCAUUGCAUGUUUACUUAUGUCCACAUAAUGUGGUGUUUGAAUACUCCAUUGAUGCACGCAAUAUAAUUGUGUGGAAUAUCUAGUACAAGUACAGAAAAUUGGGUCGAUGCAUGUGUAGCGUGACAACUAGUGCUUUGAUAAUAUUAAGCAUGCGAGGGAUUGAAAGAUAUCCUCUACACCAUGCUAGGGAUUGAAAGAGAUCCCUUGUUGUUAUUGUUGCCACCGGUAGGUAGUAGGUCCACGGGACAGGAGAACAGGAUCAUACUCUUAUAGUCUGUACUUGGUUUGUGGAGGUCACACGAAAAUAAGGUAGGGUCACGACAGUGCCUACCUGGCAAACGGUCACGGUGGUAGCUCGGGAUUGAAAGACCUCCUCCCCACGUGACUUGGUGAUGUAAGUUGUGGCUCAACCUACGGGUGAGCCGGUGCAAUUGGAUCAAAGAGGAAAGAGAUAGUUGAUUGACCAUAUUGUAACCUGUGCCAUAUUGCAUUGUUGCAUCCUGUGUAGAGAGUAAGCAUAAUGGAUUCACAUGUUGGGUGAUGGAUCGAUCAUGUUAUCCUUGUGAGAAGCCUAAAAUGGGUGAGAGAGUAGUGGAGCUAGUUCCCAUGAGGCUGAGAGGGGUGAAUUGGGCUAGAUUUUGUGGAAGCCCCUGAUUGGGUCGAGAAUGAGUUGGAUCAAGAGUGAGUAAAAGAGCACAGUUAAACAUAUUGGAGUAUAAAAUUCAUUCCCUAUUGUCGUAAAGGCAUAGUGGUUGCUUAAAUUUCUAUAUAUGCUCAGUGUAGUUGCAUUAUUACUUACCUAUUAUUUUAUCUACUUAUGCCUGAUUAUAGCUGUAGCGUACUGAGUUUCGAAGUACUAUACUAAACUUGGGCGAAAUGGACAAAGUACAAUUGAGAGUGAUUUGAACACAAAUGGAAAUGAGAUUUGAGGGUUUUGAAAUGAUUAGAAGUGGAUUAGAGAUUAAAGGAGCGAAACGAAAAUUUUCGAAAAUUGCGUUUUUGGGCUUUGGACCUAUAGGGUCCAAACCCUGAAGCCAAGGUCCGGAACUUGACUGUGCAGUGCGAAAGCUACGGGUCGGACCCUGAACCCAAGGUCCGAACCCUCCGCUCGCAAAAUGCACAGUACAGGAGGUUUUUGGCAAUUGUAGCGCUCCCCCUUUAAAUAUAAACCCUCCCAGCUCCUCUCUCAUUUUCUCCCUCACGCACAGGGAAAAGAGAGGAGAACCCAUCUCCUUCCUCUCCUCUUCCUCUCCUCUUCCUCUCUCUAGAUCCAACUUCAAGGUGGAGUUUUUGGAAGAGAUCGAGCUCGAGAAGCUUGGAGUGAGAAUCAAGCUCUAGCGCGCGUUGUGGCUCAGGAAGCUUGCGAUUUGAGAUGAGUUCUUUGGAUUAAAGUUUAGGGUUUUUGUUAAAUCCCUUAGGCCCCGUUUGGAUACCCCUAAAAACAUAGUAUAGUUAAACUAUACUACAACAAUAGGAAAUAAUCCUGUGAAGCGUUUGGAAGAAAAAAAAAUGAUGUAAUUUUUGGAGUAUAGUUAUACUAUAAUCCAAAAAAUGGAGUAAAAUUACAAUCCACUUUAAUCAAAGUCAAAAAAUUCCACCAUUUUUGGUUCUCUUACCCCAAAGAUGUAUCAAGUUCUAAAUUUUAAAUUUCAACAUAAAAUUUUAAAUUUCAAUCUAGAUUUUAAAUUUCAAAUUUAAAAAUUUUAAAAUUCAUUUUAAUUUUGAUUUUAAAUUUUAAAUUUUAAAUUUCAAAUUUCAAAUUUUAAAUUUCAAAUUUCAAAUUUCAAAUUUCAAAUUUAAAACAUAAAAUCUAAUUUAAUUUUUAAAUUUUAAAUUUUAAAUUUUAAAUUUUUAUUUUUAAAUUUUGAAUUUUGAAUUUUGAAUUUUAAUUUUUUAAAAUUUUAUUUUUAAAUUUUGAAUUUUGAAUUUUAAAAAUUUAGGAAUUUAAUUGUUAUAAAUCUUAUGGAAUUGUAUGCUAUGUAUUCAAACAGUUUAAAAAUGAAGCUGUGGAAUUUUUUUAUGGUUACAAGCUCCCGUAUUUCAUUUAGACCAAAACAACAGAAUAAAAAUUCAAUGGAGUUUUUUAACUAUGAAUCCAAACAGGGCCUUAAAAUUGAGAUUCUAGAGUUCCCAAGAUGAUUCUACACUAAUUUAAUCAAGAUUUCUCCUUGGAUUUGGGAUAUUUUUGGAGAAAUUGGAAUCUAGGGUUAGAAUUGGGGAUUUUUGUCCCUAAGAGAUUUGGAACUAAAUUGACCUUAUAAAUCCCUAAUUAAAGGAUAGUUUGACGCAAGGGACAACUUCGAUUUGAAUUACGACGAAGUUAUGGCAUCCAAUUGGAGAAAUUUGAGGAAUUUCAUUCGUUAGGCUUGAAGCAUGUCGAAUCGGCGUCAGAAAUCAAAUUGCUUGGAAAUCCUAGCAAUUGGCAAUCAACUAAGGUGAGUAGUGCUCUCCGAAAUGGUUGGAAAUCCCAUUCCUUGAACAUAUGUAGAUGUGAAUAAAUUGUAUGUAACAGGGUUCAANCUAGAGUUCCCAAGAUGAUUCUACACUAAUUUAAUCAAGAUUUCUCCUUGGAUUUGGGAUAUUUUUGGAGAAAUUGGAAUCUAGGGUUAGAAUUGCGGAUUUUGGGGUUCUGAUGUUUUGAACCAAAUUGAUCCUCUAGUUCUCUAAUUGAAUGUUAGAAAAGAGCCCUAGACAACUUUAUUUUGGAAAUCGACGGGCAUUCGAUGAUCCAUCAAUUUAAGAUCGGAGUUAUUGAUCUUUAUCUAGGUAGCGAAUAGAAUUUUCUAUUAAAAAAUCAACCUAUUCCAAUUCUUUUACACCGUUAAACUAGUAAGUAUCACAUACCGACCGUUAAAAAUUGUCAAUUUUGUGAACUUUUGAUCGUAAGGUAAAUGAUAUUAAAAAAUUAUUAAAUUUGAUUUCUAUUAGUUUUAAAUGCUCUAGAUAACGUUUAACGGUAUGGAUCGCCGAUUCGAAAGCUCUAUGAUCGAAAACGACUUAUGAGUACGAAGACGAUCGUGCACAUAAGAGAAUUGAGCUAAAAUACUCUCAAAAGCACCAACCCCUUGGUGCUUUUGAGUUUCGAACCCUUGGAUCUACUCCUUGAUUACUAAUAAUCUCUGGAUCAAACACUAUUCCACCUACCACCACCUACCACCAUCAUCUCAACCCUACAUCUCUCCAUCCAAUGGCUAAAAACUUAAAAGUACCAAUGGCUACCACCAUCAUCUCAACCCUACAUCUAUCCAUCCAAUGGCUAAAAUCUCUCUAUCCAUUCAUAUCUAGGCAUAUAUAUAUAUAUAUAUAUAUAUAUAUAUGAAUGGAUGAAAUAGGUUGAAAAAUAGGUUGAAUAUCACUAGGGACAUUAGUGAACUCAACAAGGACUAGAUGUUAUGAAAUUAUAAAUCCUAGGUGUGGACAACUAGAAUAAAGAAAGAACAUGAUUGGAUAUUGAAUCUAGUGUCAUUGAACAUAGAUUGGAAAAUAUAGUGGUAGGAAGACCACUUGUAUUGGAAUGUCAUUGAACCUAGAGUCAAGUGAACCUAGAUGGGAAGGACAUAAGACCUAGUGUUGUUGAACCUAGGUUAUGAAACAUAGUAGUAGUAAGAUGACCACUUAGAUAUGAGAACAUGAACCUAGAGAGGUUGACUUGGAAAUGGAGGGAUGUGCAUAUCUAGUGAUCUUGGUGAUCUUGGUAUUAGAGCUCAGGUGUGCGCAACAAUUUUGCUGCCAUAGGCUUGAUACCUAGGGCGUGUGCAACGAUUUGCCGCCUGGUGACUUGAUCCAUUGUUGGCGUGUGCGAUGAUUUCACCGCCAAGUGGCUAAGUCAGGAAAAGGAUUACGCCGCCCAACGACUUGAGCCAUUAUGUGCGACGAUUUCGCCGCCAGGUGGCUAAGUCAAGUAAAGACGGUAAACUGUGAAUGAUUGACUCAAGACCGAGUCGGGUGAUAUAACUUGGCUAAGGUAAGAGAACCUUAGGAGUGAAAUGGAAAUUAGAUGAAUAUUGAAAUAGAAAAGUAGAAAAGGUAGAUCUACUUGCAUUAUUUACAUUAUCGCAUUUAUUUAGGCAUAAGCAUGGAUGUUUGGUUAUUUGCAUAUAGUAGCGUUAUGCUUACACAGUUAUAUGUUUAUUUAUUAGACUAACCUGCUUAUGUUGCCUCCUUUGGACCUGUGGGUUGAGCUCUUCCCUUGAAUGGCCGAACCCACUGGGAACUAUAUUUAUAGUUCUCAUCUCCAUGUUUUAUAGGUUCGCAUGUGAGCGGCGCAGCGGCGCGAGAAAAUGGCGUAGCUCGAUAGAUAGCACCCUACUACUGUGUGACCAAAAAUAGAUGCACCCUCGAAUAGCUUAGCUUAGGAUAUAGAAAAGAAUGAAAGGAAAAAAUGUAAUAAAGUUGAUUGUAUUUGGAAUAAUCAAAAUGUAAAUGUGAAUGUGAUUAUGAAUGAAUGCUUGUAAUAGCAUACUGGUUUAUGUUUAUGAUGCUUUCCUUAUAUAAUCUAUGUAUGAAUUUUGUUCCUGUUUGGAACCACUUGAAUUGCACUGAUUGUCACGCCUUCGGCGGGCAGGGAAAACUCUAUCCGUUCGGCAGGUUUGGCGCACGCGCCCGUGCGGAGCUCCUUCCGCCAAAUUGGGGAAGGGACGGCGGGGAAUGACAGUAGCCGAACCCACUGGGAGCUUCUUUUAGUUCUCACCCUUUUGUUUUGGAGCCAUUACUUUUGCAGAGCGGCACCGGACCGAGGCGUGGGCACUGCGCCUUAGAUAGUGGGGUCACCAAGUAUAGGUUACCCGUGUAUAAGUAAAAGGAAGGAUUGUAAAGGUAUUUGGAAUGAAAAUGUAAUAGAGAAUGAAAAUUGUAUUUGAUGAAAAUGGCAUGUACCAUGUAUUAUGUAUCAAAGUUGAGAAAUAUAUGUAAAAUGUGAUUGUUGCAAUGUUGUAAUAGUUAGAUUUACAUUCUCGCUUUUGUGAUAUGCCCUCGUGCAAAACUGUGUUAUGUUGUUUUUUCUAUGUGAAAUUCAAUGUACUUAUUUUGUUUACACCUUGGAUGGAUAGGAGAAACUCUGUCCAUUCGGUGGUCUGUGCAUGCGCCCACAUGGCCUCCACUGUGCAACGGGGCGGGGCGUGACAUUAAUACCAUGUUAAAUAAUGCAAAACAACCGUUAUUCUCCAAAAGCUUAUGCUGCUAGAGAACGGUGUUUUUAAUAUUUAUAUUCAACAUUCCUCCUCACGUCUAGCCUCAGGACAUUUUGGUAGGCUCAAGACAUAAAUUAAACGGAAGGAAAUUAAUAAUGCUAGGAGCCUACCGAGACUCGAAUUCAAGACCUCCCGCUCUGAUAACUGAUACCAAGUGAAAUUAUGUGAAAACAACCGUUAUUCUCCAAAAGCUUAAGUUGGUAGAGAAUGAUAUUUUUAUAUUUCUAUAUUCUAUUCAAUCAAAGAUCUCUCUUUUUUUUCUUGUAUCAAAAAUAAUUUUUCUCUAUUACUGUAUACCCUAUGUAUCAUAUAUUAAGAUUUUCCUAAUUUCUCAUAUAGCCACAUCCACAUCGUACCGUAUCCAUACCCCGUAUCACAAAGGCUAGCAUGUUAAUAUGUAAUAUACGAAAAUGGAUGGAGUUAAUAAGAGAUGUGGAACUUGAUUUCAGAUCUAGACUAUAAUUUCGUCCAUAUAGUUGUGAUUAUAUUAUUAACUCCAUUAGACUACCAAUUGGAAAAUGACAGCAUCAUUAAUAGACAUUUCUUUUGUUAAAAUUAACACCUUAAGGACAUUUAAAAUCAAGGUCAAACUUCACGGUUAAAAUUGACACUCAAAAAACGAAUUUCAAAUUGGGACCAAACUUUGGGAUUAGAUUGUUACGAUUUCAAUCCUAAGGACAAAAUUGAAACCCUGGUAAGGUUUUAGGGAUUAAAUUUGUAAGGAUGCCAAUUGAUAUUCAUUCUAUAUUCAAUAACUAGAUAAAAUAAUAAAAUGUUUGUUUGAACUAAGAUAAAAUGUGCUACUAAGCAAAAGCAAAAUCUUGAAUUUGGUGUUUGUAUACCUACUCUAGAGAGAAGCCAUUGUAUGUGAUUGUAAAUUUGUAAUGAAAAAACUAUCGGUACUUCUACUAAUACUUGCACUCAAACAUUCUUUUCAGAGCUUUUAAUGUUUUCAAUUAAAUAAAAAUAAGGUGUUUGUUGUCAUCAAUGCCAUCAACCUUUUCUUGUUUCCUUUAAAAAUAGAUAGGGAGACAGAUUAAAUAGUGAUUCCUUUUUUGAAAAGAAUCACCAUUAUUGUCUUCGUACUCGGAAACAACUAAGUUGAUGUCCAUACAAUCUAUCCAUUAGAUGACCCAUAUCAAAUCUAUUUUCAUUCCGGUAAGGAACUCUUGUUCCUGAAGAGGUACUCUAAAAGUGUGUUCUCCUUCUCAAAUUCACAACAUCCAACUACAGUUCACGGGUUUCAACUACACCAAGAUGUCCUUCAUGAUUCAAUUUUCGUACGUACUUGAGCUAAAUUAUGUCACAAAAAUGUGUGGCCAGCCAAGCAACAUAAUUAUUGUAAUAGAGAAAUGUAAAUUAAGGUUUAUGAGAAACCUAAAAGGACUCUCUAGCCUCUAAAAGGUGAGAAGUGGCACAUGUUAGAGCAUUAUUUCUCAGGCAUAUGUGUACCUGUUGAACUCUGUUAUAAACCUGAAGUGGAUAGAGCACAAUAAUGGAAUAAUCAUAUUAUUCAUUUUGAACAUUCUCACCAUAAGCGGGAGGAUUCGCAAUAAUUGCCUGAGCCCUAAAAGGUGCCCCGGAAUCCAAAUCAGGUUCUGUACAUGCUGGAAGAAGGGAAUAAAUAACUUCCUUCAGUUGCUUCCGCUGUAAAGAAAUUUCUGCUGGUCCAGAUAGCAGAAAACCUUUGUUUCUUGCCAUAUCUGUCAUUUGCAAUCCCGGAAAUAAAUAAAUACAAGAGGGAAAAAAAGGAGAGGAAGCUUCCAAAUUAGGAAGCAAACAUUAUAUAGUUGUAGCUUGUAAGCAGAUAUAUGAUGAAUUGUGUAUGAUGAAUUAUAUAAACAAGAAAUCUUUGAUAAGUCCCAGAAAUUCAGUAAAGAACCAUACACGCAGCCAUGAUGCGAGGAUCACCACCCAAAGGGUAAAAGCCAAUACCAGCUGACUUGACGAAAGCAUGGAAGUUGACAUGAGUUGCCAAUCUAACAUGAUGACCAAACUCCUGCAAAGUUAUUGGGUCUCACAAGUAGAAAAAGAAAAAUAUUGGCAAUAGCAAUAAAAGCCUACAUCUUUUUCAGGAGAAGAGACCUGCUUUUACAUCAAAAUAUGAAAUAUCUCCAGAUAUUGUUCAAAAAGAUCUGUUACUGAAGAUUGAAUUUCUUCCAUUUGUAAUCACAAAACAACCAUGUGAAACAUAGGUUCGUCCACAAAAUCAAGGUGAACAUGUUGGUUUGCUCCAAGGUCUUAAGCAUUAUGGAAAGGGGGAGAUAAAUAUAAACAAAUUCACAACAAAUUGACAACCAUGCCUGAUUGGCUUCAUGAGCAAUAGCUUUUAUAUCCUAACGUGCGAAAAUGCAGUUCCCACCACACUACUUGGUGCGAGAAUGUUUGUCUAAAAAAUUCAGUACUUCUACAAGUCAAAUGGCAUCCUAAGCAAGAAUUUAAGUACCCAUCGGCACGGACCAUAUCUACCGUGCCGUAUCGUACCAACAAGAUAUUAACACGAUACAGCCCUCGUGCUGAUGGAACAACUCAAAACCCUCUAUUCUUUAAAUUAGUAAAUAAUUUUCUCAAUAAAGUUCAAAAGAUUUGAUAAAAAUACAUAAUAAAUAGUUAGAAUAUUUUGUUGCUAAAGAAAAAAAUAUUUCAUACUAUUAUGUGUCGACACACAUGAAUUUUUUGUGACAGGCACGCAUCGGCACAGCCUGGCACGCACCAUGCCAUAUUGUGCCAGCAAGUUCCCAACGCAACCCUGUGCCACAGCACUUAAAUCAUUGAUCCUAAGGUAUCGUAAUCGAUUAUAGACAAUUCAACAUUAACACGUGUAGAAAAUAAGAUGGAGGCUUGCAAGGAUACAUGCCUGCAGUCUCUUGGCAAGUGCUAUAAAAGGCUGAACAUCUCCUCGUGUUCCAACUACAAGCAUUGCAAUCUUCAGUCUUGGAACUGAUUUGCUGUAUCCAAAGGGAGUUUGUUUAAUUUCUUCAGCAUCUAGCGGAGCAUAAUCGACAGCAUCAAGCUCUAAUAGUUCUGAUGCAACAUGAGCAUUACAAGUAACAUCCACCUCCACCGUUCCAUCAUUCUGUAUCUUCACCAAUUUCUCAAUGAUCUUUUUCUGAAAAAGAUAUUCUUAGCUAUCAGCUACUUAAGUGAUGAUAUCAUACUAAUAGCAACUAGCACAUGGAAACUACUAUUUUUCAGCAAAGAUACCAUAGUUAUUCUAAUAUCAGAACAUCUGUUAAAAAAGGAAGAUAAAUCUACACAUAAAAAAAGGGAAAACUUCAAAUACCAACCCUAUGGUUUUGCCUUUUUUUCACUUUAGUACCUUGUGGUUUAAAGUGUAUCAAUUUAGUACCCUGUGGUUUCGCACUUUCUCACUUUAGUACCUUGUGGUUAAAGUGCAUCAAUUUAGUACCCUGUGGUUUCAUUUUUCACUUUUCAUCGGCUCCUAUGUUAAUAUUUUGUUAAAUUAUAUAUAAAAAACUUCAGAUACCCUACCUAACAUUUUCAAGUAUUUACUUAAGUACCCUUUUGUUUUAACUUUGUCAUUGAUUUUUUUUUCCUCCGUUAAUAUUUCGUUAAAUUAUAUAUAAAAAACUUUAGAUACCCUACCUAGGUUUAUCAAAUAUUCAUUUUAGUACCCCUUAAUUUUAACUUUGUCAUUAAUUUAACGAAAAAAAUUAGUGAAAUGGAUAAUAAAAAGAGAAAAAUAAAACCACAGGGUACUAACUUGAUACACUUUAAACAACAGGGUACUAAAGUGAGAAAGUGCGAAACCACAUGGGCUAACUUGAUACACUUUAAACCACAGGGUACUAAAGUGAAAAAGUGUGAAACCACAAAGGGGGUAUUUGAAGUUUACCCUAAAAAAAACUAUUUGCAGACACACCCCAACAAAAUUAUAUUUUCACAUAGCCCUCGAAAAAGUUAGUUUUUUACGUACGAGUACCCCUUUACUUACAAAAGUACUUCUCAUUCAGAUUUUUCUUCAAUUUAUGACCAACUUUCCCACGAAAUUGAGUGACAACCCAACUUAAUUCGAGGAUUAUUAGUGAAAAUUCAGAUAUUGAAGAGCAAUAUUAAUGGUUGAUUGUGGAGGGACAUAUAUAUAUAUAUAUGGAGUGCAUUUAGAAACACCAAUGUGUUGGUGCUAUAGCCUUUUUGGCCAUUAGAUCAACCCUAGUGGCCCUUGGAUCAUGCACAUUGGGGAGCCCACAAGUAAUUAUUAUUGUUGACUUUUGAUCCCAUGGCCAAAGGGCUAGAUACAAUGGCUAAAAAAUUAUAAGCACUACGGCCUUGGAGUUUCUAGAAGCAUUUCAACUCAGUUAUACACACACACAGUUAAACUACUAUGCUUUCGAAAGCAUGGAGGCCUCUAUGCUAUCAAGUCAUUUUUGACGUUGGAACUUCCAAAUCGAUGAUCGGCUCUGUUAGAUUGAUCUGAAGUAUUGGAAGUACCUAGAAAACAAAUUUUGCGAUGUUUCCAUAUCAUUUACGUAGUGGUCGAAAGGGUUCAAAAUCAAUAGCUGAAAAUAAAAAUUUUCGAAAACGUGAUGACAUGACACCAAACAUUUAGAUCAAAAAUAGUAAUCUUGUUUCAUAUAGUAUAAAAAAUUUUAUGUCAAAUUUCACGUGAUUUAGAUAUUUCUAUACCAUUGAACUUGCAAACAGCUCACCACGACAAUUAAAAUUGUUGAUUUAGAGCCUUGCGAUCACUAGGUAAAUGAUAUCAAAAAAUUGCAAAAUUUAUUUUUCUGGUACUUCAAAUACUCUAGAUCAAGACUAAUAGAACCGAUCAUCAAUUCGGAAAUCUCAACAUCAAAAACGACGUGAUAGCACGGAAGCCAUCGUGCUUCUAAAAGCACACAAACCUAGCUCAUAAUAUACAUACAUACAUACAUACAUACAUACAUACAGACAUACAGAGAGAGAGAGAGAACGAGAGAGAGAGAGAGAAGAAGCUGGUUAUUGUGCUUUUUUAAAAGCACUAAACACUUGGUGCUUGUAAGUUUUCUACCAAUAGAUCUAUCCCUUUGACCAAUUUAACCCCUUAUAUUAUGCUAUUCCACCAAUCACCCACUCAAAUGUUCCUGGGGCUUAACUGUUGGAAUGACUAUAAUAUUAGUGACUAGCCGACACAUUUGUAGAGUGUCGGGACCAGUCGGAGUCGUUUUGGCAUGAAAUAGUCGCGUAAACGAACUCGGCGCACUCAAAUAAGCCAAAACUGAAGUUCUGGCAGUUUACAGCGCCCAAAAGUUGGUUUAAGGCGCACAGAUUCAGAGUGUUGUUUGGUUUAUGUUGCUGAAGUCAUUUCGGGCCCAGUUUAGGGCACUCGAAAUGUGAGCCCGAAUUCUCCCUCAUGAAUAUCCAUUGUUUUGACACGUAGCGUGUGGUAGGUGUGAGCCGCCAUUGCAGGUUAGGCACAUCGAACGCGCGGAUGAGCUGUUUUGCUGAAUGCAGUGGUGAGCUGUUUAGAGCACAUCGAAUGGCUAUAGUAUUAGUGACUAGUCGACAUAUUUGUAGAGUGUCAGGACGAGUCGGAGUCAUUUUGGCGCAAAAUGGACGCGAAAAAGGACUCGUUUUGGCAUUAAAUAGAUAUGAAAAUGGACUCGACGCACUCAAAUAAGUCAAAACUAAAGUUCUAGCAGUUUACGACACCCAGAAGCUGGUUUAGGGCGCCCAGAUUCAAAGUGUUGUUUGGUAUGCUGAAGUCAUUUCGGACCCAGUUUAGGGCACUCGAAAUGUGAGCCCGAAUUCUCCCUUAUGAAUAUCGAUUGUUUUGACACGUAGCAUGUGGUAGGUGUGAGCCGCCAUUGCAAGUUAGGCACACCGAAUGCGCAAGUGAGCUGUUUUGCUGAAUGCAGUGGUGAGCUGUUUAGGGCACCCAAAUUUUGGGUUUAGGGCGCCGAAUUUGUUGUUUCAGUACCGAGGCAGGUUAUGUUCUAUUUUUCCUGUGGCUCAUUAUACCCCUCUAUUGCUUCUAUAAAAGCAAUGGGACAUCCCCUGAGAACUCUUUUCCAUUCUCUUCACAGCAAGGUUCAAUUGCUCCACCAAAUGUCCCUCAAACCUCCUCAAAUCCUUCCUUACUCCCUGCAGGUGGGCAUUCACAGCAGCAGCAACUUCAGCAGUUUGAGGAAUUGUGAUCUGUUGGAGCUUCCAAUUGCUGUGGGGAACAAUUUCGUGGAUUGUAGACUCGAUGGAGAGAGUGCGGCACAAUUCUAACAAGGUUGAAUUUCUAGAUUUAACUCGAAUUUGAGUUCUUGAGCUGAAAUUGGGAUUUAUGGUGGAUUUCUAGGAUUUUUCUUUGUUAGAUUUUCGGAUUUGGAAUUGCUUCCUCAUCCUUCCUCACUAGUGUUGGAGCUUCUCUCACCAAAAUUUUCAGAUUUGAAGGUGAGUUUAACUCAGAUUUUGAGUUAUUUGAGAAUGGAUACAGUGUUUGGCACGUUGGUGGAUUUAAUGAAUGUUGGGAUCCAAAUCUUUGUAGUGAGUUGAUUGCUGAAUUUGGAUGGGUUCUUUUCUCAUUUCUAGAACUUUUAGACCCCUUUCCAUUGAAUUUAUAGGUUAGAAUUCACAGAUUUUUCGCUCAAUUGAAUUUGAAUUACUGUAGUGCUGAAUUCUAGAUGUUGAUUUGGGCCUCCCUUUUUGGAUCCGAAUUGCAGCUAAGGGGCUUGCAGUGCUGGUUUGAGCUGUUUGAGCUGAGAGCUAGUGGAGAAACAUAAAUUGGGGUUUGUGCCUACUACUAGCAGGUGAAUUUGAUCAAGUUCUAAACUUUAAUUCCUAAUUUUUCACCCAUUACUCCAUCUUUAAAACCUACUGUUCUGGGCUGCAACGAGCUGAUCCGGGCUGGCGUUUGGGCGUCCAGAUUGUUGGAUUCUUGCUGUGAAGCUGAUUUAUAGUGGAGUGAGCUGGUUCCUUUGCUCAACAAGUGAGGUCCCUUUCCGUGGUUGGAUACGCUAUCAAGGUGGAUUAAUGUCUACCGAAUUCUUCUGAAUUCCUUCUAAGUUUUAUGGAAUUUCAGCAUGUCUUAUUAUGUAUGAUUCAUCAUAUUUAGUAGCUCAAAUUAAUAGAUUUGCAUGUUAAUAUAUGAAAUCUGAAUUUGGAGAUGAUUUAGAUAUUUUAGAUGAUUACUACAUGCUGAAUUAGGAAUUGACUUAGGAGAAACCUACACACUGAACUUGUCAUUUAUUUGAUCAAAUUUAGCUUCAAGAGCUGUUUUUACUAUUGUAUCGCUGCUGUUAGUGCGUUGCAGAUACUCAGAUUGGUAUAGGUUGAGAUUACGCUCGUGCUGAGAUGUCGAGUGGACUUUUACAACAGUGUUUAGACUGUGCCGCAUUGUCAGGUACCGUUUAGAUUGACGGAGGUCCCAGAUCCUUACUUUUUGCAUCAGACUGUGCCGAGGGCACGUGAGUUUGGUGAUAGUAGUAUGCCCAAGUAGCCAAUCGGCUAAUACACAUUAUACUAGUGCUUGUAUGAUUGCACUGGGCAUUUAUGUAAUAUAUUUAUAUAUAGACAUAGUGAGUUGUUUUUAUUCCAUUCAUGUUAUUGUAUGUCUGUGAAUCAUCCAAAGAUUAACAAGAUGAUGGCAUGUAUUUUCAAGAGUUGAGAAUUUGGAGCAUAUUUCAUUGGUAGUUAAUUCCUAAAGGCUCCCAAUCGAUGGAUCAUCACGGGGACGGUGGUGCACCCACUGAGAUUGGUGCACUAGAAGUGUCAUUUUCAUAGACGAGUCUCAAGUCUAAGUGUGGAGACACUAGAGCUAAGCGCAGGUGGUUGUUAAGAACAAGGGUACCGAGUGUGAAUCAAUACGAGAAGUCACAUUGUAAUCUACUUACUCGUCAGUGACGUUCUUGAUGCUGCAGUGAUGUUCUUGAUUCUUUGACUUGCAACAUCUCGGCUAUUCACUGAUAGGGUUGUCGUAGUUUGACUGCACAGUAUCUUAGAGAUUAGUCAUAAUUUUCUAGUAGUGCAUGUUGGCUACGACGGGUCUACAGUAGGAGUAGGAGAGUGUUCAAAAGAAUCUAUUGUCCUUAAUAGAAAGGUUAAAAUCCUAUGUGAUUUAGAUAUCUUAUUUUAAAUCUUAUUUUAAAUAGUUUAAAUAAUUUUCUAACCAAAAUUCAAUUGAUUUAGAUAUCUUUACACCGUUAAACGAGAAACAUCUCAUAUUGACCGUUAAAAUUACAAAUUUUGAAACUUUUUUAUUAUUAGGUCAAUGAUGCCGAAAAGAUUUGAAAUUUGGUUUCUAGAUACUUUAAGUGGUAUAGAUCAUGUUCAACGAUGCCAAUCGUCGAUUUGGAGGCUCGAUCAUCGAAAACAAAUACGGAGCUCGUUUGCUACCAAUAGCAUUCCAGCUCAACUCUCUCUCUCUCUCUCUCUCUCUCUCUUUAGGCAAAUGAUGUCGAAAAGAUUUGAAAUUUAAUUUCUAAACAAUUCAAGUGGUAUAGAUCAUGUUCAACGGUGUCGAUCGUCGAUUUGGAGGCUCCAUCAUCGAAAACAAAUGGGUGGCAAAAGUGCCGGUUUGCUAUCGAUAGUAUUCUAGCUCAACUCUAUAUAUAUAUAUAUAUAUAUAUAUUUGUAUUUAUUUGUAUUCAUAGAGUCCGGCUAUGGUGCUUUUAAAAGCACUAAGCACUUGGUGCUUGCAAGUUUUCCACCAUUAGAAAUCAUGCUAUUCCACCAACCAUCCGCUCAACAAAUCACAAGUAUAAUGUGUAGACAAAAUCACCUUCUCACUUUCCGAUAAUCUAUCCAGUUUUAAGUCGCACUUCGGAGAUUCCUUCUUCUCCGUACAAGAUCUAGGUAAUGCAUUCUCAAAACCUUUGAACGGCAAACUAGCCAAAUUUGAGUGCACCGGUGCUGUUUUACAAUGCGCCAAGCCUGGGUAAAAACAAUUAAAACAAGUAGAUAUCAUGUUAAUAGAGCACAAAAUGUUUAAACUAGUAACAACUCAAGAAUAAGAGAUGCUAGUACUCCAAAAAAUCCAGCAGCGGAUAUUCAGGGAUAACAUGAUCAGGAAAGAAGACGAUCAAAGCCGCUAACUCAAUUAACAGGUAAUAAUGUUUUAAGUCAAACCAUAGUCUGUCCCAUUUACCUAAAGCAUGAAAAACUUGGAAACUGAAUCCUAAUCUCUAAAGGUUAAUUGUCACUGAAGGUGUUGCAGGGAUGACCAAUAAUUAUUAUCAGUUAAUGCACAAGAACUGCACAAAGUUACAUUUUCACGUGAAAGGUUACAUCUCAUUGGGAAGGAAAGUGGCCAUCGACAUAUGGUAAAUAGGCUAGGCCGCUAGGGUACAGCAGGCUAGGGUACAGCAUCUUUUGCAAACAAUAAUUUAGUUAUGAAAAGGGCAAAAGUAUACCAUGACUAUGAUAACACUCUAGGUCAAACACGACAAGAGAGGUAACAGAAUAUUAUAAAUCAAAAUUAUCCAUCCAUACCUGCAAAAGAUAGCGCUAUAAUUAUGCCCUUCUAUAUGAAGCAUCACCUCUCACCAUUUCCGAGCAAAAUUCCAAUAUGACUUCUGUCUGGUAAAAAAACAAUCACCUCUCACAAUUUCCCAAUUUUAUCUACAUCUGACAUAGGUCUAAACUAACCAGAAAUGUUUCAAAAGAUGUGGGCAAAAAAAGUAUAAAAAAAGCUUCCACCCAACUCUCUCUAGUGUAUACUAGUCUAUACAAGAGCAGGACGCAUCUAUGAAUGAACAUCACAAAAACUGCAUCAAAGGCCCAUUUCAAGUUCAACAGGAAGAAAUAGAAACCUUCAAGCAGAGAGUUUUUAUGCAUGUCAACAGAUUUCAACAAUAGAUCUGGCCAUUUUUCGAUGUCCAAUGACAAGAUGAAACAGUGUAAAAAGACAAGAUGAGAUUUUCAGCCUGAGAGGCCUCACAAAGUGAUAGUAUCCAACAAAAUCUCUGAAUUAUAGCUGCUCAGAUGCUCCAUGUGCUUGGAGGAGAGAUUAAAAAAAAAUUUAAGUCCCCAAAGAAAGAAAGCAAAGCGACAGAAUAUAUCUUGUUUCCAAAGUUUAUGGCAGCAUAUCACAGAUUAUUGCCUACAUGUGGUUCAGACCACAAUGAGGCUUAAGAGCAGAAAACCAAUCUUUUUGGUGAUGCUUUUCUUGAGUGCAUGUAUUAUAUGGCUUUUUUUUUUAUUGAAGGGCAUAAAGAUGCUAUGAGAGGCACUAGAAGCUUUUCCAUAUAUUUCGUGCAUAAAAUUAUUGACAACUAAGGCUGGCUUCCGGAAUGCUUGCCACUAACACUAUUGACUGCUUCGAUUAAAAAAAAAUGCUGUAGACUCCAGUCUUGGGAUAAAAGGAGGUCUUUCUUUGCUAAAAAAUCAUACUCCCAAGAAAAAUAGGGCUCUUUCCAUAGAGAAAAAUCCAUAACCACUAAAUUUAGUUUCAUUUUCAUGCUACCACUUAGCAUUAUUUGCUGUGAAUGACAGAUUAGGAAGCAGAUGAAAUUCUAUGACAAAACUUUGUCAAUCUAAUCAACACCACAAAGGCUUGGCAUAUUUAGUGUGUCAUAAUCAAUUGUUGGUCAAAGAGCAAGCGCGCCAAAAGUGUAGAUGUAAAAUAUUGAACUUCAGUUUAGUCUACUAAACUUCGGCCAAAAAGGAUAAACUACAGAUGAAAUUGCGAAAACACAAUUUGGACGAGUUGAAUGGCUAAAAGAUAGCUUAGGGCCAAGUUUGGAUAAAAACAUAUCGAAAAUGAAGUUUUUAGAACGAGUUUCUAAGAACUGAAAUUUCAGAAGUCCUAGCUUCCAUGGGGAAGCCCGGAUCUUGAAGUUGCUAAAACUUCAAAGUGCGAACAGAGGAAGUCAGACCCUGAACAGUAUUUGCGCAUGACAGCGCUUGGGAUCGGGGCCUUGGAAAGGAAGUCCAGAUUUUCACGCCGGUUGGGGAAGUACAGACCUUAGGGAGAUAAGUUCAGAUCUUUGCUAUAAGAUGCCCUAUCGAAUGUUCAACAUCCGGACUUUCAUGAGGAAGUUUAGACUUUUCGCAGCUAGAGCUGUUUGAGAGAGGUAUCUUAUAUCAUUUUGGUUGGAUUGAGGGGUAUAUGUGCAAUUGUUACAACCCCUCUAUAUAUAGGGGACCUCCCAAGUUGGAAAGCCACAAUCUAAACCUCUCCUCUCUCUUUCUUGCUCUCUUCCCCUCUCACACUCUCCUCUCUUGCUCCCUCUCUUUUUAGCUUUGAAGAAAACGGAGACCGAAUUCUCACUCCUCAGGACCCUAGAGUGAGAGCCUCAAGAAAUGGAAAUGAUGACCUCGGCCUAGGCGAGCUUUGCUUGAAGAAGAGCAAAAACUUGUGAUUCAAGGUGAGUAGCCCUUGAGCUCUUAAUUCAUUUUUUGGUCGUCGUCGAUUUUAUGACUCUUGUGAAGUUUUGGAGUCGAUUUGGGGUUUUAUUUGUGUUGUACACAUAAUGUUCGCAUAAUAUUGAAAAAUCUAGGGUUUUCUUGAAAAUGAUUGGAGAAUCCCCCAAAUUGGUGGGAGUUUUGGUUAUUGUGGGAAAUUGCAAGCCCUACCUGUGGCGAAAUGUGUGUUUUGUCAGACUGAGCUAGGGUUCAAGCUUUGCAGCUUAAGGCCCCAUGAUUGGAUAUGACAAGUGGUAUGAUGAAUAUUUGGAACCCUAGAGGAGUUUGUGAUGUUCCUGUCUUUCUCCUUAGGACCAAGUGAAGGUCGAGGAGCCGACGACUUCCAGUAAAUGUCGAGUUUGUGAUUCAAGGGAGUACUAAGUCCAGAAUGGUCCUGCUCCACUAUUUGGUUCGCCUGUUCCUAUCCUUCUCUCUUGUUCCCUUUUGAUAUGGUCGUCGUGCCCUUGAUAUAUGCUUGUAUGAGGAUGGAAUAGAUAUUGCAUUACUAUUGUUAAUUAGCAUGCUUAGCAUUGACUCUAUACUUAGUGAUAUCGUCUUUAUGUCGUACUUGAUCGCUUUUUAAGGGCACUUGAUAUGCAAGAUUUGAACUUACCGUCGUAGGGGCAAUCGUCAUUGAGAUUAGGGUAUACUUGUUAGAUCUGCUACUGACCCUUGAGCAUUUGCAUAGGAUUAUAAUUUGCAGCGCAGUGAAACUGAGACAAACACUGUGCGAAACCUUUAGGAUUUGGAAUAGUUCUAUAUAUAAGGUAUAGUAGGGCUAAACCUCUUAAUCCAUCUAUAGCAUUUUGGACGAUAGCUAGGCCAAAAAGGUUAAGAGGGUAAAGCAUGCUAAGGCUAAAGUAGUUCUAGAAUGGGUGACCCUCCUAGGAACCAGGGCGUCAUAGUUGACAUCAGAACCAAUCACCAGCAGAAAGUAUGAGAUGUCUCGAGUAAGCCAGGGUCUGAAAAUAACGAGCUAAGUCGAGGUCUUAAUGACAUGGCUAGCGAGGCAAGUCUUACAUCGCCUGGUGCUUGUGAGUGUUCUUGAGCCUGACAUGGACAUCAGGACUUAAAAAGGGAAGGAAUGUGACACUCAUAGGAUUUGAAAGUCCUAUAAAUAAAAUAUAAUAAGGCAAGUAAAAAAAUUAUUAAUAGACUUAAAAAAUAUUAUAAUUAAAAAAAUAGUCUUUUAAAAAAUUUAUUUACGAAAUUAUGCUUAUGCGAUGAAUAAAUUACCGUUUUUUCAAUGCAAUAAAUUAUUUGCCGCUUUCUUCAAAGCAUUAGUAUUAAUUUUAGGGUCUAAUACUCUACAUCUUUUGAUGUCAGGAUAUAGUAAUUAGAAAAUAUAUAAGUUUGGUAAAAGCGAUAAACAAUUUAUUGCUUUUAGAAAGCAGUGAUGAUUCACCGCUUUUAUCAACACCGCUUUCUAAAAACAGUAAAUAAUUCACCACUAAAGCCUAAUUUUACAAAUAAAAAUGUUGGAUGCCUAUUCUUAGAAUUAAAAAAAUUUAAAAGCCUAGUCGCCCAAAAACCCCACUAAAAUCUCUUAAUUCGGCUAUAGCAUUUUGGGCAAUGGCUAGACCCAAAAGUUUAAGAGACUUAUACAUGCUAGGACUAGAGUAGUUCUAGGAUAGAUGAUGCCCCCAGGAAGUGAAGCAUCAUUAACGUUCAUAGAAUUUGGAAUAGUGCUAUAUAUGAGGUAUAGAGUAUAGUAGGGCUAAACCUCUUAACCCGACUAUAGCAUUUUGGGUAGUGGCUAGGCCUAAAAGAUUAAGAGGGUUAACCGUGCUAGGGCUAAAGUAUUCUAGGAUGGGUGACCCCCAAAAAGCGGGGCGUCACAUUUUGGAUGGUCGCGUCUCCAAAGUUCUCUUCAGAGUAAAUAGUCGUUAUGCGGCAACCGUGGCAAUCGCACCCUUGCAUGCCAAGGGGCCGUGGUGACCAGCCCGGCCUUGUACACAAUGAAAUAACCAUGGCAGCGAGUUCCUCGCAAUGCUUUUUCAGUAAGCUUGGGUUGGCUCCCCAUGACCGAUCAGUGGUUAGAUUGGAUACAGUUGAGUAGUUGGGAUACUCAGAGGCAUUGAUGCAUGAGUAUACUUGGUUAUUGCCAUUAUAGCGUCAUGUUUACAUAAUGUAUUGAAACUCAAUAUAGUGUACCGAAUUUUUACCAAAUUGACAAAAUGCAAAUCAAAGUCAUGCUAGACGUGAUUAAAAUGGGUUUGGAGGAACUUAGAAUGAGUUUGGAACGAGUUGAAAUCAAUUCGGAUCAAAAUAAUUUCAAAAGUUGGAAUCUGAAAUUCAAACUUUUCAGACACCCGAAACAGGGUUUCGGACGCCCGAACCAUUUCGGACAGCCCAGCUAAGUACCUGGACCAAGUAGACACUCUACUGAAAACUCGAGAUCAUGAAGGAAUAAAGAAUCGGGCAUCCAAAUGGCCGUGCAAGCGUCCGAAACACCCUUCAAGUGAUUCCCAUGAGUGUCCUAACUCCUUCCGGACACUCAACUCAAGAGGACAGACCGCAUUGCUCGUUCAAGAAAUGUGCGCCCGGUUUGCACUGCAAGCGCGCGAAACUUGUAUCGAACGGACUAAGCGGGCUCCAAGAUCACCUUUCGGACACUGUUGCCGAGAACUCUAGAGGAUCUGUCUAGAUAUUUCGAGCGCCCAAAAAUUCAGGCAGCGGCCCGAAACCUGUUGCGGAAACUGUGGUCUUUUGUUGCAAAUACAAAUGAACGGCCCAAAAUGAUGUACAAAGAUUUGAGAACACAUUAUUGGUGGCCCAAAAUGAAAGGUGAUGUUGGGCGCUAUGUGGCUCAGUGCAUAGUAUGCCAACAAGUCAAGGUGAAACAACGACUCCCGGCGGACAAGUUGUAAAGUUUAUUUAUACCCGUUUGAAACCAGAAGAACAUUACCAUGGACUUCAUCGUGGGCUUAACCCUAUCACAAGAAGGCCACAAUGUAAUUUGGGUGGUAAUAGAUCAGUUGAUGAAAUCGGCUUAUUUUCUACCAAUCCACAACAUUCGAUUGAGGAAAUUGACACAGAUCUACAUCGAUGAAGUUAUGUGCCUCCGUAGAGUGCCAAGUAUGGAUCGUCUCAGAUCAAGAUCUCCGAUUCAUAUCGCAAUUUGGAAGUCUACAAAAGGCUCUUGGGAUGCGCCUCGAUUACAGCACAGUGAAUCAUCAUCAAAGUGAUGGACAAUCAAAAAGAACAAAUCAAAUUCUCGAAGAUAUGUUGCGGGUGCGUCUUGGACUAUGGAACAAGCUAGCAACAAUAUUUGCCAAUAGCGAAUUCGUCCACAAUAAUAGUUUUCAAGCCAGCACCGGGAUGGCACCCUAUGAAGCAUUGCAUGAAAGGAAAUGCCCGUCUCCAUUGCAUUGGAGCAAGGUUGGUGAGAAACCUACCUUAGACCCGGACAUGGUACAAAAGGCUGAGGAAAAAGUUCGCGAUUGCACGUCAAUGGUUGUUGACGGUGCAAAGUCGACAAAAGAGCUACUCCAACAAGCGUCAACAUGAUUUAAAGUUUAGCGUCGGAGACCAAAUAUUCUUGAAGCUCUCCCGAACAAGAUGAGUAAAGCAAUUUUGAAUGCGAGAAGGGUUAAUUCCUCGCUAUAUUGGACCAUUUGUGGUGUUGGAGCGGAUCGAACCCAUGGCAUAACGGGUUAUGCUACCCCUAGCUUGGUAGGAGUACGCGACGUAUUCCACUUGUCUCUACGCCGCAAAUAUGUAUCUAAUCUCACGCACGUUAUUAGCUAUCCAAAUCGUAGUUGCGGGAGGAUUUGAGCUAUGGCAAGAUCCAAUUACCAACAAGAGAAAGCGUUGCGAAAUUGCACCAUUCCAUAUGUCAAGGAGUUGAAGGGCAACCAAUGAGGAGCGUAAAGCUAUUCCAGAGCUCAAGAACAUAAUUCGGGAGCAUUUUUCCCACUUCUUCGGACAGUCAACUUAAGUAUGAGUUUUCAAUUUCGGGGACGAAAAUCCUUUUAAGGUGCAAGGGAUGUAAUAUGCUGAAACUCGGUAUGGUGUGCCUAACUUUGGUCUUUGGCCAAAUUACCAAAGUGCGAAUCAAAAUCCUGCUAGAUGCAAUUAUAAUAGGUUUGGAGAAACUUAGGCCGAGUUUGGAGCAAGUUAACAUUAAUUUGGAUCAAAAUAGAUUUCCAAAAAUGAUUGGAAUAUGCAUUCCAAAGUUUCCGAACACUCAGAAUAGGGUUUCGGGCACCCGAACCAUUUCGAACAACCCAAUUCAGCGCCCAAACCAAGCGGAUGCUCUAUACGAGAGCUCCAAUUCAAGCGGGAAUAAACAUUCAAGUGUCCGAAUGGCCUUGCGGCCAUCAGAAACACCUUUCGAAUGGUUCCUGCGGGUGUUUGAACGCCUUCCGGACGCUCUACGCGAGAGCUUGGACUAGCAGAGGAAUAAAGAAUCAAGCGUUCGAACAAUUGCACAGGUGUCCAAAACACCCUUCAUGUGAUCCCCGCAGGCAUCUAAAUUUUUUCCGGACGCUCAACCUGAAAGGACGGACCACGAUUUUCAUUAAACAAACUGGUGCCCGAUUUGCCCUGCAGGUGCCCAAAACAUGUAUUAGGCAGAUUAGGUGGGCGCCCAGAUCACCUUCUCGAUGCUGCUACUAAGAGCUCUAGAGAAUUUGUCUAGAAACUCUAACUUAUUUUGUGCAAAUACAUAUAAAUGGGGGGUUUGAAUGCAAUUGAAGCACUCCUAUAUAAACCUUUUCACAGCCAAACACCCUUCCCCUCUCUAGUCUCUCACACUCUUUCUUUCUCUCUCUAAAUGAAGAGAAACCCUAACUUCCUCCAAUUGUUGGAUCUCUUUAAUCCGUCUCAUUGGAGCUUGGAGGAGAUUAAGAGCAUCAAGGAGUAGCUCUAGGAGCGAGAAGGUGACCACCUCAACCACAUUUCUCUUGUUUAGAGAAGAAGAGGUGUGAGCUUUUUAGGAUUUGUUUUUAGGAUUUUUCCCAGAUGGAGGAUUUAAAGGUUCUAACUUGAUUAUAACUUCUUUUAGGAUUUCUGGAGGUUCUAGUGAGACCAAGAAGCAUCUACCAAGAGUAUUCAAGAGAAGGUAGGGAAUAUCACCGAAAUAGAUUUGAUAAAACUUGCUUGUAUCACAAAUAAAAAGGAGAUAAAACUUGCUUAGUUUGCAUACUAUGAGAUCUAAGAGGUCAAGAGGGCCUACGAGCACAUAGUCUAGGAAAAUAAGGUCUUAACCUCUUUGCUAUGUUAAAAGGAAAGUAUAUAUUAUAUGUAUGUAAAGCACUAUGUGAACUUAAAACUUAGAUGGCAUAGUAGUGACAUCAGAACCUAGGAUGAAAACCUAGAGUGUGGAACAUAGAGACACACACGGACAUCUAGGCAAACUUGAUCUAAAAGGUAUGGGAUCUUGUGAGUGAACUUCCGAAAGUGCCAUAUUGAGAUAUGUCGAUUCCCCUCGAUUCUAUACUCGAUAUCGGGAGAUGCCGAUUACCCUCAACUCCCUAUAUCGAACUUGGAGAUGCUAAUUUCCUUCGGCUCCAAGUGCCUACCGAUUGGAAAGAUCAAAGAUGUCAAUUGCUUUCGACUCUCCAUAAGGUAUUUAGGAAGAAGUGGAACCAAACCAAAGAUUUGGUUAGAGACAAGGAAUGAUUUGUGACAAUCAUAUAGGCAAAUGACAAUAGUAUAUCAUUGUGGCAUCUAGUUAUUUCAUUGAGGACUAGUAGUUGUAUUCCACCUAUUGUAGUAAUAGUAGUUUCAUUUAUUACUAUUAUUCUACUAAUGCUUCCUUUGGACCGAGUGAGUGUAAAGCGCCACUUUCAGUGGUUGCACCUAAUGGGAACUUAUUUUCUAACUCCAUUGAUGUUGUUGUUUUUUAGAGCCAUCUUCCACCGGCGAGAUGCGGGAUCACGGGAAGUGCGUCACGAGUUAGAUAAACUGUGGCUAGUCAAUCUGGUGAGUACCCUAUUUUGUAUGAACAACACUUAAAUGUAUUAUUUUGGGAAGUAAUGUGUUGUAAACCUUAAAGGCGUUAAUUUGUAAUAGAUUUAACUUAGAAGUUAAUUACUUUGAUGCUUUUUGGCAUCCAUAUUAUGUAUGUAUUGUACAAGUUGGUAUAUGUUUCCGCUUCAUGCGAAUAGGCAAAACCUUGCCAAUUCGGCGGAACUCAAGUAGCCCUGAUGAAGUUCAGGAUAUAAAAACCAUUUAGAAUGGACAGAUAUGAUUUUGAACUUCAAUAGUCAAAUCAACCACCAUAUCCCACAAUUAAACCAAGGAUUAUCAUUGUGUUCAUUUUUGGCUAGGUUCUUAAACUAAGAUGCUUCAUUUAAAAUUAAAAAAAAAAAAAAGAAGCACCAACCAAGAAACAGGUCGAGAGAGAAAUGUCAUGACAGAAUAAAUAUUCCCAUGGCAUUAUAAGGUUGAAACCUCACUAGUGAUGAGCAUAGUUUACUGGGUUAGCACAUAAUAAUUUGCAAUUUCUUUUGAAAUAUCAAGCAUAACAAUGGUCACGUAUUCAAAACCGUGUGAACAAAAAACAGUAAUGUGACAGAUUUUGAAUAGUAUAGCUAUCAUUAGAACAAUAAUUAACCAUCAAAAAGCAAUCAAACCAACCUGGACAAGGGGACAAACAGAUCUCCGAAUCUCUUGACCCAGUAAGGCCUGUCUGGAUGCACAGUAAAAAAAUUCCAUGGUGUUUAAAUACCGUGGUUUGGGUCCAAACGAAAUGAAGAAUCCUGUAACUCCAACAAAAUUCUAUAUGUUUUUUUAAAAGCUGUUUGGAUGCACAUUAUACAAUUUCACAGGAUUUCUGACAAUCUUAAAAAAUUAGCUAUUAUGGACUUUAAAUUUAAAUUAUUAGUUAUUAACUGGCUUUAAAUUUAAAAUUUAAGAGUAUUAAAGACAUCUAAAUAUAAAUUACAAUUUCAAAUUCGAAAAAUUAUGACAUUUUAGAGAGCCCACAGUUGGUGAAGGCGCUACUUGCAUGAACAUGUAAUUCCAUACAAAUAAAUUGUAAUCUUCAGGAAAUACAAAAAGGCCUCCUCACUACCUUGGCCAUGGUUACCCUCAAUGCUUUGGCAACUAGACUCCCCUUCCUCCUACAAAACCCUCUAAAACCAUUCAUGUAAAUUAAACUUUGCAUUUGAUGCCUCUAACCUGAUUCUAUCAACAACUAACAAAAUUCCAAAGCAUUUGAUCCUCACCCACAACUACAACCCCAUAUCUAAACACAAUUUCACAAUGCUGUACCAAAUCAAUAAGCUCUAGGAAGUACAUAAAAAAUACAAUAAAAUACCAUAAAUACAUCUUAAAAAAAUAUUGAAGGGAAUAUAGAUGCCACAUAAGAAAAAGACAAAAUACUCAGAUUGAUCUAGUGCAAAAAAAAUGGAUGAUGGGAGAAAUUGAAGCUAUUAAAAAUAAAAAAUAAAAAGCUAACAAUUCUCUCUUUACCCGUUGGAGGAGGAAAGUGGUGCGGCGCCUCUCCGGCCAUCGCAGGGAGAGGGGCGGUUGGGGAGCGGUAGCGAGGGUACGGCGUUGGUGAGAGAGGAGCGAGGCGAGAGCUCGACGGCGGCGGCAGCCGUGGCCGAGAUGAGUGCGUCGGCGGAGGCGGUGGCCGACGUGAGGGCGGGGGCGGAGGCGGCAGCCGAGGUGAGUGCGGCUGCGGAGGCGGCGGCCGAGGUGAGUGCGGCGGCGGAGGCGGCGGCCGGGGUGAGUGCGACUGCAGAGGCAACGACUGAGGUGAGUGCGGCGGCGGAGUCGGCAGACGAGGUGAGUGCGAUGGCGUCGGUGGCGGCCGAGGUGAGUGUGGAGGCGAGGGAGGGAGGUAAAAUAGUUGGGGGUGUGGAGAAGUUGGAGGUUGGAGAGGGAGGGAGAUCAGGGUAGAGUCGGUAGACUCUGGAGAGUAAAAAAAAACGAAAAAGGGGGCGUGCGUGCGCAAGAGGCACGCCGAAAAAUGGAGUUUUGAUUUUGGAGAAAUUUUUGAAUUUGAGUUCAGGGUUAAAAUAGAGUUAGAAUAAUUUUGUGUUUGGUAGAGAAUUAAGUUUAGUCCAGAUAAGUAUUUGCUUAGAGGAGCUAAAAUAAGAAGAAUAGUAGGUUGUUAUAAAUAGAAAAUAAUAAUUUUGCUCCAAUUUUUAUAUUUGAGUUUAAAAUUUUAUUUUAUAUUUCAAAUUUAAAUAGAUAACUUUUAAAAUUAAAAAAUUCAAAUUAAAAUUUAUUUUUAAAUCUCAAAUUUAAAAAUUUAAAUCAAAUCUAACAAAUAUAAAAUUUUAAUAAUUAAAAAUAACAAUUUAAAAUUUAAAAUUUAAAUUUAUUUUAAAAUUUAAAUUUAAAAUUUAAAAAUAUAAAUAUUAAUUUUAAGAUUACAAAUUAAACAUUUUAAAAAUUACAAAUAUAAAAUGUCAAAUUUAAAUUUUAAAUAAUUAAAAUUUAAAAAUAAUAAUAUUAAUUUUAAGAUUAUAAAUUAUAAAUUUUUAAAAUUUUUUAUUUAAAGUUAAAAUUUUUAAAUUAUAUUAAAAUUUUAAUUGGGAUGGGAUUAACUUUAAUCCCACCCAAUAUGUUUAUUUCGAGAAUAAGUAAGAAGUGUUUAUUCCACAAAUAGAUGUAAGGAAGAACUAGAUCAAUUUUAUAUUUAGAUAAAAUGUGACGCCCCAACUUCCCAGGGGGUCACCCAUCCUAGGACUACUCCCGUCCUAGCACGCUUAACUCUCUUAACCUCUUGGGCCUUGCCACCAUCCAAAAUGCUUAAGCCGGGUUAAGAGUUUAGUCCUAUUAUAUCUUAUAUAUAGGACUAUCUGGGGUCUCACAAUCUCCCCUCCUUUAAGCUCUGACGUCCUCGUCAGGCUCAGACUCACAAGUACCAGGCGAUGUGAGACUCGUCUCGCUAGCCCGUCAUCCAGACCCUGGCUCAGCCGAAACUCAUCUCACACUUCCGGCUGGUAAUUGGCUCUGAUACCAUCUGUAACGCCCCGACUUCCCAGGGGGUCACCCAUCCUAGGACUACUCCCGUCCUAGCACGCUUAACUCUCUUAACCUCUUGGGCCUUGCCACCACCCAAAAUGCUUAAGCCGGGUUAAGAGUUUAGCCCUAUUAUAUCUCAUAUAUAGGACUAUCUGGGGUCUCACAAUCUCCCAUCCUUUAAGCUCCACUUCCGGCUGGUAAUUAGCUCUGAUACCAUCUGUAACGCCCCGACUUCCCAGGGGGUCACCCAUCCUAGGACUACUCCCGUCCUAGCACGCUUAACUCUCUUAACCUCUUGGGCCUUGCCACCACCCAAAAUGCUUAAGCCGGGUUAAGAGUUUAGCCCUAUUAUAUCUCAUAUAUAGGACUAUCUGGGGUCUCACAUAAAAAUUAAGUAUUUUUCACAAAUAAGAAAAAAAAGUGUUUUGGUAGAAUGACAAGAAUAGUGAGUAAUUAUAAAUAAAAAAUAAUAAUAUUAUCCCUUAUAUUAUAUUUGAAUUUAAAUUUUUAAAUUUUAUAUAUAAAUUUUUAAAUUUAAAUAUAUUAUUUUGAAUUUCAAAAAUUUAUAUUUCUAAACUCAAAUUCAAAAAUUCAAAGUUCUAAAUUUUAACUUUGAAAUUGUUAAUACAAGAUUAAAUCUAAAUUCAAAUAUAUAAAAUAUGAAAUUUUAAAUUUAAAAAAUUUAAAUAUCAAUUUAAAUUUAAAUUUUAGAAUUUAAAAUUAUAAAAUUUUAACUUUAAAAUUACAAAUUAUAAACCUUUAAAAUUUUAAUUUUAAUUUUUUAAAAAUUUAAAUAUGAAUGGAAAUAGCUAUUCUCACCCUACUCCCACACAAGGGGUGGGAUAACUAUCCCACCCUUUAACAAGUUAUCCUGAGUGGGAUAGUUAUCCCACUCCCCUUUUUUUGUGUUUGGGUAUAAGGGCGGGAUUAUUCCUUAUCCCCAACCCAACACUAUCUUUAAGUAUAAUUUAACUAAUACUCAAAGCCCCCUUUGGUUUGGGGGUAACAAAUAUUGGGAUAAACUUUUUUAUCCAUGAAAUAGCUUGCUAUUCUGGAAUAGUCAGGAAUAAAAGUAAAAUUAUGCUUGGUUUGUAAUGAUGUAUUUUUAGGAAUAAUUAAAAUUGUGUUGGGUUAAUUUUAUGGAAUAGUAGAGGAUAGUGGAGAAAAAUAAUCGUUGCAUUUGAUAUAUAAUAUAUAAUUUAAUAAUAAUUAUUUAAAUAUAAUUUACUAUAAAAUUUAUUAUAAUAUUUAAAUAUAAAUAACAUGUAUAAAUAUAGUAUAAUUAAUAAUUUUAUAAUAAAAACAAUAUAUUAUAAUAUAUAAUAUAUUAUAUCUAUAUAAUUUAAUUUUAAUUCAAUUUAUUAUUUUAAUAAAGUCUGAAAUUAAACCUUAGAAUAGCACUAUUCUACCAAAAUGGUUGAAUAGCAAAUCCCAAGCUAUUCUAGGAUAGCCGAGAAUAGCAAGAUUUGACCGGAAAAAAAUAUCCCGGCCAAAAAGCACCUAGUUUAGCAGAAUAGUGGGAAAUAACUUUUGUUAUCGCUAGUUUAUCCCUGAACCAAACAGAACUUAUUUUUGAACCUCCAAAUACCUCAUAAUAAAUUUUUUCUAUACUCAUAGCAUAAUUAAACUAUGCUCUAAAAAAAAAUAGCAUCCAAACAGGCCCUAAACCUAGAAUCCGAAAAUCAACUAUAAAGUCGACAGCUCUGUUCGCCUCUGAAAAAGAUUGUCCUCUCGCUUCUCUCGCAGCCCAUUCCCUCGCCGAUUUUGAGCCCAAAAUGGCUCCUUUCUUCCCUAGGUCUCAAUCUCUAACCACCUCACGCCCAUCAAAACCCUUGAUGAUCCCAUUCCUUGCCAUCUUAUAUACCAAAGACGUAUCAAAGGGCAUCGAUCAACAACUCCCGCCACCAAAAUACCAAUUUUCUAGCUUAAUAGCUUUAUAAAUCAGGUAAUAACCUGAGUUUCAGGGGAAUAUAAUUUUAAAAAUGUUUAACUACUAGUCAAUAGGGGCAGAGCUAUGAAAACUUAGGGGGGCCAUGGCCGACUUUCCAUAAUUGCAUAAUAGUCCCUUAUUUAUAAAAAUAUUUAAAAGAUAUAUUUUUAGCUAAUCUUAAAAGUAUAUUAACUGACCUAUCUUUUAAAAAAAUUCUUAGCGUUAAGAUAGUGCUCUCUCAAUGGAUUUAUUUGAUUUUUUUUGUUUAGUACCUUCGGAAAUUCUAAUUAUUCUAGAUAAUCAUUUUAUUUAAUUAAGUUAAAGAUUAUAUAAAAUUUAAUAGCUCUGUCAAGUAGUCUCAUGAGGUCUCAAUAUUUGCUCUUUUGAUUGCAAAAACAAAUUCCUUGCGAAUAUACUCUCUUAGGACAUUAUAUGUAAGGACUGAGAUUUUGGCAGUACAGCUAAACUCUCUAUUGACGAUUUUUUUGUCUGUAAUUUAAUUACAUAAGUACUCGUCGAGUUUCUGGAAAAAACGAGUUAGGAUAAAGAAGUUACGCGAUCAUUACUAAUCACUUAAAGUGAAUAGUAACUCCGUUUUUCCGAAAAGACCGAUUAGUGGAGAUGGCUUCUGGUGCGUAUCGGACUCCGUUCAUAGCACUCCAAUAGCUCGUUUUCAAUGGUUCGACUAUUCUGGAACCAUUGGCGCAGACUGAUUUCAAAUCUGACACACGAUUUUCGAGAAAAAUGGAGAUACAUGUUUUAUAUGUAUUGGUGAGCGAGUUUUGCCUAUUGGAGAGAGGACGGGUUUCGUCGCGAAUCCGCGACCAAACCGGGCGAAACAAAAUUGUGGGUUUGAUGUCUCUGUUGUGUUGAUCGCAUUGGUGCGAUCCGUUCGCAAAUCUGACGAACUGAUCUCCUGUUAUUGCGUACUGAUCGAGGAGGGAUUAUUCAUGGCAAAAACGGUAAUUUUGCGAAAAGUCUUACAUUUUAUGUACCAUUUUGCGUGAAUUUGAACGUCAAGGUGUGUACACGCGAAAUACACGUGCUGGGAGGGACCUGGCUGAAAACAUUCAUCUUUGGAGGACCCUUGUACACAUUACAUCUUAUACAUAUAGGUAUGUUUUAGGGUUUUCAUGGUCUAACCCUAACCCUAACCCUAAACCUUGCCACCCUGAAUCGCGACCCCAACCACCUUCACCUCUCUCCCCUGCCCUCGCUGCGCGCACCCCGGCCGCCUGCGCACGCCGCCGGCCGUCGGAGUGGCCGCUCCUCUCUCUCCUCCAUUUUCUUCUCCACCAUCUCUGCCCGUGGGACCAUAUAUGAUGACCUUCACCCUCGGGCACCCUCGCUAGUAGCAGCCCCGACCUCCGACGACUCCCCACAUCGGUCGCUGCCGUCCUGGCGCGCCGCCGUCGCUACCUGAGCUCCUCGCGGCAGAGUUAGGUCAACUUGGGCUGAGCUUGAGUUAGCUCUUGGCUCGUGCGCUACCGAUGCCUUGUGCCAUCCGCACCGCCCUUCCUCGACCCUCGGCGACCUCCCCGAUCGGUAGCCGUCGGCCCUGCGGGCCGCCGCCGCCGCUCUUGGCAGCCUGCGGCAGCCCCAGGCUAUUGCGGGCUGAGGUUGGGACCUCAUUUUCUCCCCGCAUUACUGCCAUCUGUUAAGGAUUUUGUAUUGGCAAGUUUCGUGAAGUGAGUCGGAGUCUUGAAGGAUCGAAGCGGAUUGACGAAGAUUGAAGAAUUCAAGAUUUCGAAGAUUUUGGAAAGAAGCUCACAAUGUGAAUCACGACGUAAAGGUAAAGUUUUAAUUCAUGAUAUGAUGAUUCAUACUUAGUUAUAGGUAUUAGAAUCAUAAACUUAAAGUUUAAUGGAUUAGAAAGUGCCUCGGAACAUUGUGGUACCCGAAACAGUGCAAAGUGUGAAAUUUACACUGUGUACCGGUACAGCAAGCGCCCCGUACCGGUACAGCCAUCAACAUUGGCAAUGUAAAUUUUCGUUCCGUCAUUGUGUACCGGUGACAGCUUUUCGCGUAACGGUACACAGUGUAAAAUCGUGAAAACUUUCUAAUCCGACUUCAAUUGAUUCUAAAGUUUAUAAAUAAGCUAUUGGGGUUCUCUAACAUAUCAAGCAUCACGAAAAUACAUGUUUGAGAAACCCUAGAGGCUCGGAUUUCAUCUAAAACCUAUUUUCUACAAAAAGCCUCUUUUAGGUCAAAUCGAGAGAUUGGAUUUUCAUAUCAAUAUGUCGAUUUGAUCUCCGCUUCGCUUGGAGUUCGCUUCCCUGGUUUUCAACGAUACUCUAAGCGAAGGAUCACCAUACACAUGAUGUUCUUCAUGAUGGCGUCAUGGAUUUGGCGUGUUUGACGGCGGUUCGUGGAUUCGGAUCGUUGGCUCGUGGAUUCGAGUGGCGUUCGUGGAUUCGGACGUGUGCGAGGCGUUCGUGGAUUCGAACGUGAGGGCGUGGACAACCCGGAGGAUUGCGCGAUAUCCAUAAGAGUUAAGAGAGAUUAAGUCCGUGGAGUCGGUAAUCACCUUGCUAACUUUUCUCUUAAUGGAUUAUUUUUUCGGCGUGUUGGUCUGUGGGUUUUUCUCCAAAUUGGAGUUUUCCCAUGUAAAUCUCAGUGUGAUUUUUAUUUUUCGCAUUUAUUUUAUCACAUUGAGAUUUGUGGUUUUGCUAUUUCACCUAUUCACCCCCUCUAGUGAUAGAUACAAUCUAGAUAGAUCCUUGGGCUCCUCAAAACUUUCAAUUGGUAUCAGAGCGGGAUAGAAUAAAUUGUUAUCUAAUGGCCGAAGGCGGAAACAUUAAUUGACCACCGCUCUUCGACGGCACAAAUUAUGCUUAUUGGAAAGUUCACAUGAGAGCUUUUCUAAUUGCAAUCGAUGAGCGCGUUGGCAAUCAAUCGAAUUGGAUGGAAAACAUCCUAUUGAAAAGGUCGAGAAUAUUAAAACGCCAAAACCACGGAACAAGUGGACGAAAGAAGAAACGAGACAUCUUCGUUUAAGCGCAAGGGCAUAAACGCUUUAUUUAAUGCAUGUCUCAAACGGAGUUUAUUCGUGUUUCGCGCAUGCGAAACGGCAAAGGAAAUUGGGAUACUCUACAAGAUUCGCAUGAAGGAACGAGCUUAGUAAAGGUCCAAAAAUUGCAAAUGCUAACAACAGUUUGAUUCUAUUCUAUGGAUGAAAAGGAGACCUUUAGCCGAAGCUAUUAAUACACGUCUACAAGACGUUGUGAAUACAUGUGCUAACUUGGGAGAGAAAAUCCCGGAUUCAAAGGUUAUUAGAAAGAUUCUUCGAACUCUUCCGGAACGCUUUCGGGCAAAGGUUGCCGCGAUCGAUACGGUUAAGCAUCCGGACGAGAUGAAAGUCGAAGAAUUAGUAGGUGCUUUGCAAACUUAUGAGAUGACUUUUCCUACUAAUCAAUCUUCUUCCAAGUCUUUCUCUAAAAGCACAGGGGUUGCGUUGAAAUCGACGAAAGAGGAAGACGGAGACUCGAAUUCCGAUGGAGAGAUCUCAAUUGCCGACUUCGAACAUCAAUUGGCGCUUCUAACAAAGAAGUUUCGUCGGAAUUUCCGAAAGAAGAACAAUUCGGACAAGGCUACAUCGUCUAAGCAACAAACGUUUUCUAAAUCUUCUACAUCUAAAGAGAAGAAGCGUGCAAAGGCUUCGAAAGAAAAGGAUGAAUUUGAAGACGAAAUCCGAUGCUGCAAGUGCAAAGGCUACGGCCACAUCGCAACGGAUUGUCCCUUUGCAAGCAAAGACGUGGGAUGAUACAACUUCAAGUGAUUCAAGUUCAAGUGAUGAAGAAAAGAAUGAAAAUCUUGCUUUAUUUGCUAAAUCUACCUUGCCUUCGUCUAACAUUAUAUGUUUAUUCUCUAUUACUACUAAUUCCAAUAUGUCUCUUUCUUCACAUGAUUCUUCGAGCGACAAUGGCAAAAGUGAGGAGGAAUCAAACGACGACGACAUAGCGGAAGCAUACAAUCAACUUCUUAUUGAAUCAAAGAAGAUGGCCAAAACUUAAUAAGAAGUUGAGGCGUCGUUUGUUGAAUCUCGAAGAGGAUAACAACAACUUGAAGACCACGAACAAAGCUCUCGAGGAGGAAAGGGAAUCAAUUUUGAAAAAUAAUUCGGACCUCCAAGAGAAGUUUAAUGAAGCGGAAUCAACGAUCAAAUCAUCUAACGACAAGAUUGGAUUUUGGAGCAUCAAUUUCAUGAAUCGCACAAGUCCAAUCAAGCCUUGAUCGACCAAGUUCGUCAACUCUAAACCGACAUUCAAAAGUUCUCAUCGGGAUCGAAGAAAUUGGACUAUAUGCUCGGGUUGGGUCAAACGGAUAAAUUAGGCCUCGGAUAUGAAACAGUUUUUGUUGAGAAUGAUUCUAAAUCAACUUCGAAAGUCUCAACAACUUUGAAAGUCAAGGCGUGUCAUCGUCGAGGGAGGUUGGCGAGGCACAGGGCUGGCAGCUUGUGGCCUGGGCGGCAGCAGCGGCAGCGGCGGCGCACGGCGACGGCGGCGGUCGGCGGGGGAGGUUGGUGAGGCACAGGGCGACGCCGGUGAAGGCCCUAUAGCCUCAGCCUGGGCUCCAACCCGAGAGAAAGAGAGAUAAAGGGAGAUGGAUGGAAGAGAGAGCUACAGGGAGAAGGAACCUCAUUCUCCGGCGACGGGCAGUGUGCGCCGGCGGCUGGGGCGCAAGCCGUGCACUCAGGGAAGGGAGGAAAGGCGGUUAGGUCGGUUAGGGUGAUGCGGCUAGGGCUAGGGUUAGGGUUCCAAAGUGAAAAGCUUAAAUACGAAGCUCCAAUUUGCAGAAAAGUCCCUCAAAACUCAACAUUUCAUUCCGAGUCCCUCAUAGCACGAGUAAAGUGCACGGAUACCCCUCCACGUCCGGUUUCACGCGAUUUGGUACAUAAAAUAUCGCAAUUUUUGCGAAGUUUCCGACUUUGCCAAUUCAACCCCUCAGCGAACAUUUCGCGUUUCCUGAAAAUCCGUUCGUCGGAUUUUCGAUCCGACAGCACCAUUGCGUUCAGCACGUCGGGUGCAUCGAACCUAGCAUUUUGUUUCGUCUGAUUUGGUCUCCGAUCAGCGACAAAACCUGCCCUCUCUCCAACGAAUCCACAUGUCAUAUAUAGGCCUAGGUUGAAACCCGAAAUCCGUUAAUUCAAACUCGUAUUUGAAUUCCCUACCACCAGUAGGUACUUGAAACAUCUCUCACCCAUCUCCAGAUCACUUGUACAAAGCACGAGGAGUUUCAAAAUGCACGAAUAGCAAAGAUCGGAAAUCGUCUUUUUGAUAAAAUCCCUUUUUCUCGAAAAUCGUGCAUCGGAUCUGAAAUCCGUCAGUGCCAUUGGUUCCAGAAUAGCUGAACCGAUUGAAACGAGCUAUUGGAUCGCUAUGAACGGAGUCCGAUACGCGCCGAAAGCCAACUCUACUCCGUGGCUUCUCCGGAAAACCGGAGUUACUAUUCACUUAAGUGAAAACUAAUAAUCGCGUAACUUCUCCGUUUUAGCUCAUUUUCUCCUGAAACUUGACGAGUGCUUAUGUAAUUAAAUUACACACAUAAACAUCAUCAACAGAGAGUUUAGUUGCACUGUAAAAAUCUCAGUCCUUACAUGAACCCCCCCUUAAAAGAAGUUUCGUUCCCGAAACUUGACCAUAUACCCACCGAAAUCAAAUUCGGAUAUUACUCCUCCACUGUAAUAUCACCCUUGAGUACUGGUCAAUUACAUCUGGAUAUAUCAACUUCCGUAGAAAGGGGAAAAAAUAGGACUGCGGUUCCACCUGGACAAAUCGAGGGAAAACGUACUAACCCAAAAUCUACGGACCAAAACUCACCGGGAUCAACACCAUCCUAUAACCUGCGGACAAAGACAGUCCCGCGAUUAGGAUUAUCCGAUCCCAAUUUGCCAAUUCUGAGGUAAUUAAUCAACACUCAGAAAUUUAGGUUCACUCUACCUUGGUCCGCAUAGCCGUAACCGACUCGGCUACGUCGCAAGUUCACGUAGAAAAGUCACGAGACAACACUUUAAUCUAAAGUCUAUUUACGUAGACUGAAAUGAAAAACUCCAACUAUCCAACAACGUCAACCUGCUCAUCAGGAGCGAAUACAAAACGUUGUUCUAAGACCUGAGUCAAAAACUCUCACCUUGGAGACCACAGUCUACCAACAAUAACCAGUAACUACACAAACUGCCAAACCUCAUCAAUGAAAAGUCACCUGCGACAACCUAUAGUCCUAGGUCCAAGACCUCACUUUUCACCUGACCAAAAGGUCCAAACUGACAAUACCAAAUAAGCUAGACAAUUUUAUCUCCUCAAACUUAAUCCGGUACCAACAGACCACCAAAAACUCCUUGCAAGUCCAUCGCUUGAUGCACAGGUCGCCAAUCGCAAAAGCGAUACUAACCAUCGGUGAUGCUCAACACCUGUCUCUACAAGACCCUGUCGCUGCCGUCCUACAAGGGACCCUAGCGAUCGAUGUUCCCGGCAACACCCGAUUACUUGUCUCAUUGAGACCUAGGCGCACCUGUCAUCAAAUGACCGGACAAGCAUACUAACCCAAGAUUUGCAUGAUAAGUCAAGUCGCAAACCUUUUACGUUAUCACAUAUGGUGGCAAUCAAAGCCAACAACCAGGUUCAAGUCACUCAACCACUGAUUCUAAACUUCAUGACAACAGACUGAGACUACUACCCAAGAAACUCUUAGCUGUAGAAAGCACAACAAUAGGACCAACAAUCACCUAGACUCGGACCAAAGUCAAAACCAUCAGAAGUGACGAAAAGUCAACUGCGCAAAAACCUGCCAAGGAGUAAUCCAAGGUUCGCCACAAGGUCAGNNNNNNNNNNNNNNNNNNNNNNNNNNNNNNNNNNNNNNNNNNNNNNNNNNNNNNNNNNNNNNNNNNNNNNNNNNNNNNNNNNNNNNNNNNNNNNNNNNNNGGAAGAGGAGAUCUGUUGCGUCCUCAUCUCAUGGAGCUGCCCGGAUCUGUCCCUUGAAGCCGCAUACCCGGCCAAUGCCGCUACCUGGGCUCGCAGGCUCAACGAGCGUCGCCCGACAACGGGACGUUGCGCCGCUCCUCCCAGGCUGCCGGUGUGGACCUCGUAACUCUCUUUGGUGUCAUCGCGUCCUGAAAGCAACGCACACAAAUUAUUAGUGCUCGAUACACGCGAUCCCUUACACGUUCCACCUAACUACCCAAUUAAGCGAAAAGCACGACGCCUAAUUAUUCCUACUCUCGUGUUGUGUGGUCGCCGGCGCCCACAAAGCCCUUAAGCAGACACAAUUAAGCCUUAAUAAUCCAUCUCUACUUCCUUCUAGAGAAGUGUUACAGUUAACCCAAUCACUCGGCUUUCGCAUAAGCCAAGUCCACGUCUAAGCGUUUUCCUAAGUCCUUAGGGUUCCACCUAUGGUUGCUAGGUCAUUCCGCUAGACUUUUGCUUUCAACUUCCGUCUCUGAACCAUUAUAUCUGUGCAGCCCCAAUCCCCCAAAUUAAGUCGGGUUCGGGUCUACGUCGACCGAACGCCGACGGACAGCCUCCCCUGUCCGCCAGCGCUCUAACAACACGUAAAUUACAAUUAAAAGAGAAUGCAUAAUAAUAGAAGGCUCGCACGAGGGCUAAGCAACAACGGGAACUGAAAGCUCUAAGCUAAAUAUAAAUCACAUGAUAUUUAUGAUUCAUUUAACCAAAUAUCAAGUAAGCAAACUAUUACAUUCUAUUCAAUCAUGUAUCUUUUUACAUUUAGUCAUCCAACCCAAAUACAUGAUUGUUUACACUUUUCCAUACCUAAGUCACAGAAUAAAUGAUACAUGUAUAACAAAAGGGAAUGACUACAAAUGUAUAAAGUCCCGGUGGCGGCAUCUACGGCGCCAACACCCUUGCCUCGUUCCCCCCCGCCCCGCUCGGUACUAGGACCUGUAGGUGUUAGUGAGUGUGAGAACUACAACAAAGUUACGCCAGUGGGUCAGGCUCAAUCGACCUUCGCCGACAUUACCACUAGGUCCAUCUCACGGCAUAAGAUCAAGGAAAAAAGUAACAUAUUACUAAUGCAAUAAACUAGCCUGCAAAAAGAAGUCAGUCAGAUAUAACAAUUUCAAUGGUAUAAUUGGAAAUGGCAUGCCAUGCUCCAAUCAUAUCAAAACUUUGGCUAAUUAAGCCCGAAUCUUACUCGUUAAUCUCUGUUAACACCCAAUAACUCACACUCCAAAAUCCUUAAUAAGGGGACGUCGAACACUCCCUAGGGUACUGCCGGGCGGCGGCGCGGCGCGCGGAGCUGCGGACUUUACAGCCCAGUGUGACCAACUCCGGAGCGCACCGCUCGAGGGGACGCGACCUCCCUCAACAAGACGAAAUGGAGUAUCACUUAAUCCUCAACUGAUGACUCAUACCACGUAUCACAAUGCAAUAUCACGAUAGGAUCUCUAACCUAUUGUAAUUCUUGGCCAUCUCUCAAGGCUUUAUCUUCGACCCAUUGUCAUUAUGGGUUAAACUAUAUUCAACGGUUCAUGCUCCAAUGCAAUUCUGUUUCUAUGUAAUGACACCCUUGUUCUAAGGUCCAAGUCCAUCCUUGACAUUCACGCACUUGAGGGUCGCAAUCAACAUGUCCUUUUGUUCUAUCUUCUCUAAUGUUCAACUACGUAAAGCAUAUAUAAUGAAGUUAAACCAAAGUUCCUACAUGUUGCUACCCUACUAUGCAUGAAUGAGUAUAUAUAUAUAGUAUCAUAUAGCUCAGAUAAGAGAAACAAGACAUAGAAGGGAAUCCAACCGAUUCCGGCGUGCACGCCCCCAACCUCUAUGGUACGUUGUGGGUGUAGUAGUAUUAAGCCCCACUUUACGAAAGCCGAUUCCGCUCCUAUAAUCAAAAUAGUGCCAUAUUAGGCUUUUUGUACAUGAACUAUACUCUAACAUUUUCGAAAUGUUAAACGAAGUUGUCCAACGGUUUAGGGCACCCCCAAUUAGGUUUCUACGGGGUCAAUUUGUCCCGAACAAUCCUAGGCAAAAGCCCCAAAUUCAAGCCCUAAUAUUGCCAUUUAGGGUUUUCCAUGAAUCGAUCCAACCCUAAGCAAAGAAAUAACAUAGGAUCAUCUAAAGAAGCAUCCUAACAAGGGUUUCUAGACCUUUGGCACCAACCCUAGGGCUCCAAACAUCAUUCCAAGGAUUCACCAUGAGAAGCACCUUGAGCUCUCAUGGGUUCCAUGGUAUUCAUGGCUCAAAGAGCCCUAAAGCCUCUAAGGAGCACAAGGCUCCAAAUCCCUAAGCCAAAAUCCAAACCCUAGAGGAAAACCUACAAAACUUACCUCUAGUCCAAGCUCCACCAAGAUUCUCCUUGUUGGAGACUCCUAGAACCUCCAAAGCCUCCAAAUCCUCCUCUCUCUCUCUUCUUCUUCUUCCCCAAGUUCUAGAGCAUGGGUCUAGAGAGAGAAAGAGAGAAAUGGGUGAGAGGGUGAAAUGGCUGUGAAAGAGCGGGUGAGUCAUAUAUAGUGUUGUAACAAUUGCACUACAGCCCUCCACUUGUUUCCACUUGAACUGCCCAGACUGGGCAUUUUCGCCUUCGGGGACCGGUCUCCCGACCAGGGACCGGUUCCCAGACGGGGUUUUCCAGGGACUUAGCAAAUUUUUCGAGUUUCGGCUGUGCGCAGCGAGGGGCCGGUCUGCUCCGUCAGGGACCGGUCUCCCGAGGACGCGGUCUCAACCACAGGGACGGAUGCCUCAGGAUUUCCUGCAGGCUACGCCACGGGGACCGGUUUCUCUUCAGGGACCGUCCCCGAGAGCUCAAAAUCUGGGACUUAGCCAAUUAUUCAGAUUUGCCUCCGGGUCCCUUUUGCUCCGUUUAUGACUCCAAUGCACUUAGGUCCACUUUAACUACUCGUUCAAUUUCGCGUUCCGCUCGUUUUGACGGAACUCGGUAUGAUUCACAAGGGAUGUGGUAUGUUACAUGUUGGACGAGCGUUUGAGGUGGGUUAAUGUUGAUCAAACACUUCGGAAUUUCUCCUAAGUUUUAGAAAAUGUCAGCAUGCUUCUAUUGGUAGUACAGUCCCAUGUUAGUAGCUCAAAUUCAUGGAUUGGCAUGGUUUAUAUGGAAUCUGAAUUUCGAGCAUAAUCUAAUGAUUUUAGAUAAAUCUGAUAUGCUGAAUUGGGAUAUGACUUAGGAGAAAACUUAUUUAACCUACACCUGUCAUUCUCGAAAAGUUACUAGAUUUAACUUCAGGAGCUGUUUCUCUUUUGUAUCACCGUUGUUAGUGCAUCGUGGAUACUUAAAUUAGGGUAGGUUGAGAUUAUGCUCGUGUUGAGGGGCCGAGCUCAUUUUACAGCGAGGUAAGGCUGUUCUGUAUUGUCGGGUGCCGUCGGGGCUGACGGUGGACUCAGAUUCCUAUAAUUGCUAUUAGAUUGUGCCGAGGGCAUGUGAGCCUUAGUUGUUAGACCAGUUUGACCCAUUUGUGUUGACUAUAACUUGUGUGAGCUUGAUUGAGCUCGGCAGAGACACGCUUGCACACUCGGUUGGGUCGCACCCACGAGUGCCGCUCCGGAGUGAGGCUUUUCUUGCGUUGAUGUCACAGCAGUCCUGUUUUGGGUAGUUUUCUUGGACCGACCACCUCGUGUGUCACGACCCGACACCGCCAAUUUGGACAGUUCGAGUCUGAAACAGACCUGCCGAACAGACAGAGUUUCCCCUGUCCGCCCGAAGCGUAACAAAGUCUAUGCAUACAUAUCCAAACAAGAGAUAUUAGCAUUCAACAUUAAGAGAGGCAAUCACAGAUACAAGAGAAUUUAAACUAUCUAUUACAUCUUAUUUACACAUGGUGUAUUUAACAACUUACAUUCUUUAGCUUAUUAGCAAACCUCUCAUUUAACAUACAAACUAACAUCUCACAUAUACAUCACAUUUUCUUUCCAAAAGGGUUUUUACAUUCAUUCUUUUCUUGCUAUACAUGGGGGUAGUGAGCUAAUGCCAGUGGUCCACUCUAUCUAGGGCACGAUGCCCUUGCCGCGAUCCUCGAUGGACGCGCUCGUACUAGGCUCUUCAAAACAAGGUGUGAGAACUAAACAAAGUUCCCAGUGGGUUCGGUCGCCGACCCCGUUGAUUUUUCCACUAGGUCUAAGAAGGCAUAGAAACAAUAGAUAGGUCAAUAUGACAACGGAGUAAUAGGUAGAACAAUAAGCCUAACAUACACAUAUUCAUCUAUAUCAUGCUUCAAAUGUGUAACUAUGCCUUUACCAAUCAUGUCAACAAGUAUAAGUUCUACCAUGUAUGCAACAUAUAUAUGAAAUGCUAUAACCAUGGCUUGAUUCAAUCCAACCUGUUCGCCUAAAGGUCGAACCACGACUCGCAAUACCUUGUCACGCGACCAUGACCGUCUGCCGGGCCCCUAUUGCUCUAUCUCACUAUAAUACAACUCGGAGCUCACUGCUUGGGAGGCGCGACCAUCCACAAGCUAAACAGAUACAGACGACGCGAGUAUGAUCAUAGUCCUCCCACCCAAGGUCCGCGGGAAUCCCACAUCCCAUCCAAUCACAAGGCAUGCUAUACACACACACUCGGCCACAUAUGCAACAGUUUCAAUUCUCAUUAUGCCAUAGGUUCACAUAACUAGUUCCUCAUGAAUUUAGUAUAUUCUCACAACAUUUUCACAUGCAUAUGUUCACUAGUAUUUCAUGCAACAUGCACAUAUACAACUAUCUUGGUAUUAUACAAUAAGUGCAUCUAUGGUUCUUAUGCAUCAUACAUAUACACAUCUAUCUCAACAUCAUGCAAAUAAUAUACACCUACAAGUAUCAUGCACAUGGAUCUGUUAGAAAAUUGCGUACGGUAAAACGCAGCGGAAAAGGAAAUCAAACAAAUUUGAUUUUGAAAAACUCUCGAGAUCCAAUCUCAAAAACCACGCAAUUAGGAUCCCUCAUGUUCUUUAAGAUUAAAGAAGAAAAGUAAGAUCGAAUCUUUACCUUUUUUUUUGCGGAUAAAUCUUCGCCUCAAUUUGAUGAUCGUGGAAUCGGGUUCUCUUGAAGCCGCACACGCGUCCGGCCUCUAUAGGUAUCCACACGAGGUUCUUGAUUUGAUCGAUGNUUCUCUAACAACCACCUGCAUAUUCGCUUCAGUGUCCCCACACUGUCGACUCGAAACUCGUCUACCCUCAAAAGGGAAGCGACUUAUGCACCAAUCUCAUCGGAUCAAUCACCGUCCCCGUGAUGAUCCAUUGAUCGGGAGCAUUUAGGAAUUAAUCACCAAUGACACAUGUCUCAAAUUCUCAACACUUGAGAAUAUAUGUCAUCAUCUUAUUAAUUCCUUGGACGAUUCAUGGACACAUACACAACAUGAAUGGAAAUAAAAACCCAAAGUUAUUCAUAAUAUUUUAAAAUCAAAUACAAAAUUAUGUCCUAGAAAGAAUACAUGUGUCGGCCUGGUUGGCUUCUAGGGCAUACAUCUAACAGGAUCACCAUCCCUCAUACUAAGCAUGAAUUUACCACAACUCAUAGGUUUCUCACAUAACUCAAUGCAUGAUGAAAUAUGAUCAAUAUAAGUAGAACUUAGACAUAGAAUGAAACUCGGCUAAUUCGAAUAGCACCCCCCCACCUCGUGGUGUCGUCACGAAGUGGGUACCCUAGCAGCACGAUUUAUGGCCGUCGAUUUCCUCUUACUGCGGCAAACGAAGCAAAAAUAGGGUUUUCUUCACUUUGACCACCUCCGGCUCAACAGAAUUUCAAUCCUAGCGAUCCUCUGCAUCAGUUUUACCUUCAAUUGUGGAAACAGAGGAUCAAUUGAGAUCAAACCCCUUAUGAUCAAAAACCCUAUUUUGAAACCCCUAAAACCUUCAUAUUGCAUAAAAUCCAAACCUCAUGGUAGUUUAUGCAAUAACAUGGAUUAACAUCAUCUAAGGUUCCAACUAAACACAUUUUUAAGGGAUUUUAUACAAGGGGCAAUUGCUUAUAUACCCCUGAAAAGUUCCCGACUUUCCGAUUUAUCCCUCGUAGAAGGCUAAUAUUGAAAAUACCCCACCUACAUUCCAACCUAUUUCUAAUAUACCCUUAGAGUUAAAAUCUGUUAAAUAACCAUGUUAUCUCUGUAAAAUUACUAUUUUGCCCUUUCAAAUAUACCGUUCCACCAUCACUGUCUUUCUUAUUUGCCCUUAAAGUUAGGAGCACAAAAAGUGUUUUGACUUUUGGUAUACCCCUCUACCGUCACCAACCUUUCUUAUUUGUCCUUAAGUUAAGGGCAAGAUUGGCAUUUUAAUUUUUUUAACUGUGGUAGAUAUUUAACUCACGUUUAACCCAGGUUAACUUAACAGGAGAUAACUGCGAGGGUAUUUUGCAAUAACGGUGGAACAUACGAGGGGUAUUUUAGAAAGAAAAAAAGUAGGAGUAAAUCGGAUAUUUUCAAACGUAUGAGGGGUAUAUAGGCAAUUUUCCCUUUAUACAGAACCCUAACUUAAACACCCAAAUCUCUCAAAGCUUAUGUCAUUCCGCGGGACCCAGCAUAGACCCGCCCGGUGCGUGCCCAGACCCGCCAUAUAUUUGCACAUAUAAAGCGUCUACAACAAUAGAGAUAUGAAAGUAAGAAGAAGUAAGACAAUUAGAGAUAUCAGAGCAACCAGCAGCUAAAUACUAACAACAAGUAGAGAAAAAGGAAACUAAUCCACUAAUAUAAAACAUAAAGUAAAUACAUCAACUAUCUCAAGAUACAAAAGGGGUGGUCUCCAUACAUGGUACAACUCUCAACCUCUCCAAAAUAAAACUAAUGAGAGGUAGACCACCUAUCGAAAAAUCCCUCGCCAAAGAGCUAGCUCGAGGUGUAAGGACUGAGAUUUUUGCAGUGUAGCUAAACUCUCAGUUGACGAUGUUUUUGUGUGCAAUUUAAUUACAAAAGCACUCGUCAAGUUUCGGGAGAAAUCGAGUUAAAACGGAGAUUCUACGCGAUUUCUAAGUUUCACUUAAAGUGAAUAGUAACUCGAUUUUCCAGAGAAGCCACGGUGUGAAGUUGGCUUCAGGCUUGUAUCGGACUCCGUUCCUAGCGGUCCAAUAGCUCGUUUCGACCGGUUCAGCUGUUCUGGAACUAAUGGCGCUGAUGGAUUUUGAGUUUGACGCACGGAUUUCGAGAAAAUCCAAAAAAUACAUGUUUUAUAUGUAUUUUUGUGUUAUUCAUUCUGUUGGAAUGAAAAGUUGGAUUUCAUCGCGAAUCCGUGGUCGAUCGAGGUGAACCAAAAUCGUAGCUUUGUUGUCUCCGAGGUGCUGAUCGCACUGGUGCGAUCCGUUCGCAAAUCCGACGGACGGAUCUGCGGAGAUCGCACGUUGAUCGAGGAGAGGUCGAUGAGGGCAAAUUGGUAUUUUUGUGAAAGUUGCGAUAUUUUAUGUACCGUUUUGUGUGAGAUCGCACGUGGAGGGGUAUUCACGCAUUUUACUCAGGCUGGGAAGGAUUUAGCUUGAAAUAGUAAGUCUAGGUGGACUUUCUUGCAAUUUUGCGCCUUACUUAUAUUGUUUUCUAGGGUUUUCUUGAGAUCCGAGCCCUAGAUCAUCCCUAGUUAACCCUAACCGCACCCCAGCCACGUUCUUGCCUCCCUCUGACCUAGCCGCACGACUCCCGGCCGCCGCCGACUGAUCUCCGGCCAGGCACCACCACCCCAGCCCUUUUCUUUCCCUCUCCCUCUCUUGUUCCCACCUUCCUUCUCCAGCGGCUUGGACCCGAGCAAGGGGAGGACUCAAAACCUCAUCCCUCGGCCGCCUCCACCCUCCCUCGACCUCAGGCACACAGCCGCCGCCGCCCCGAGCCGCCCGGAGCGCCGUCGCAGCCGCUCCAGCCAGCAGCAGCCGCCCCAGCCCGAGCCCAGGCCGAGGCAAGCCUGCGGCCCUUUUCUCUGCACCGCAGCCAUCGUGACCACCCCGGCCGACUUUCCAGAGCCUCGGCGUCCUUCCCCGCAGCCCGCCGCCGUCGCCGAACGCCGCCGUCGCGCUGCAACCACCCUGCGGCCGCCCUGCUUCAGUUUGGCCGAACUUUGGCCCGCUUCAGCCCCGCGCGCAGCCGCCGCCCAACGACGGCCUAGCUACCCUUCCCCGGCCUCCAUCAACCCUCCGCCGCCGUCCCGAAGCUUCCCCCGGCCGCCGUGGCCGCCGCUGCACUUGGAACCCGAGCCCGAUCUCGUGCGGACUUAGCUUGCUCCACCGACGCCGCCGCCGCACCCCGCCGUCAACCGAGGUGAGCACGGUACUCCUCACCUCCCCCGCACCCAUCCCUGGCUCCCGCGCGCGCCGCCGUGCCGCCGGAAGCCGGCCGGAGCAAGCUUGCUCCGGCCAAGCCCGAAAUAGGGCUUAGUUUGGAUGGUUUAUUGUUCUGAGCUUCCUGAGCCUCCCCUGUCACGCCCCGAGCUCCGCCAAUUUGGUCGGAUUCGGCCACGUCGACAGACCGCCGAACGGACAGAGCUUUCCCUGUACGUUCUAGGCGUAACAAUCUAAACAAUGCAACAGAAGAGGUCCCAACCAGGAACAGUAGCAAGUAUGUAGAUUGCAUAAGUAUCAAAAACAUAAAAGGCUAACUAUGCUAUUACAAGCAUUCAUUUCAUAAUUUUACAUUUAGAAAAUUUCAUCAGUCUUUAAACUCUUACAUAAGCCUUUAUACAAUUUAAUGCUUAUACAAUUUAUACAAAUUCGAUACAAAUUUGUUUCUUUCAUACUGAACUCUGAGCUAGACUGCUUCAGGGUACUGCUAUCUCUGGUCUCGGUGGUAGGGCGCUAUCUACGAAGCUACGCCCAGUCCUCGCGCCGCCGCACCGCUCACGUGCGAACCUGUACCCCCAAAACAACAUGGGGGUGAGAACUAUAUAAAUAGUUCCCAGUGGGUACGGCCACCCAAGAGAAGAGCUCGACCCACCAGGUCCAAAGGAGGCAACUGCAGGUUAGUAAACUGAACAGAUAGAUAGAUAUUCGAUGAUACAAUUAAUAAAACCAUACCUUGCCUCGCGAUAUGCAAUAUGUAAAUCAUGCAACUAUGUAACAAGUAGAUCUACUGAUCCUACUUUAUAUCUUUAACCAUUCUUUACUUGUAGCCGUUCUUUAUUAGCUGUUUACGUUCAUUAGCUAUUCUUUAUUCUUAUUCUUUAUUCUUAUUCUUUAUUCAUAUCGUGCUCACCGGCGAUUCUUUCCUAAGGUUACUUUACCUUAGUCAUCUAGCCACCCGACUCGGUCUUGAGUCAAUCAUUCGCGGACUACCGCGCACUGGCUGCUCAACAGCCUACCGCCCUCUGUGACUUAGCCAGUUGGCGGCGAAAUCGUCGCACACGCCGAACACUAGUUCAAGUCCCUUGACUUGGCCAUCUGGCGGCGAACGAAUCGCACCUCACCCAACCACGGCCUAGGUGUAUGACUUAGCCACCCGGCGGCGAAAUCGUCGCACACGCGACGACAGUAGUUCAGUCAACAGGUGGUAGGAUCCACAAACUGGCUUAACCAUCUGGCGGCGAAAUCGUCGCACACGCCACGACAGUAGUUCAGUCAACAGGCGGUAGGAUCCACAAACUAGCUUAACCAUCUGGCGGCAAAAUCGUCGCACACGCCAAACAAUGGUUCAAGCCCCUGGGCGGCGAAAUCAUCGCACACACCCAAUCCUCCCUUGGUAUCAACCUCGGCGGCGAAAUCGUCGCACACGNAGGUGGUAGGAUCCACAAACUGGCUUAACCAUCUGGCGGCGAAAUAGUCGCACACGCCAAACAAUGGUUCAAGCCCCUGGGCGGCGAAAUCAUCGCACACACCCAAUCCUCCCUUGGUAUCAACCUCGGCGGCGAAAUCGUCGCACACGCCCUAGCCUUGAUACCAAGGUUAUCACAGAUCUUGGGAUUCCGGAAUCCAUUUCACAUAACUUAAGGGUUUACUCUUUUACCCUAUUUCGACAACCUUUCUAGGUCUAAAUCAAUCAUCUUUACGUGGUCUUUCUACCACUAUACUCCAUAACUUAGUCCAAUUUUACUAAGUGUUACAAUAUGUCACGACCUAGGUAUCCAAUCACACUAGGUUCUAUGUCAUUUCACCUAGAUCUCAACUCUAGGUUUACUUACUUGACCUCUGUCCAGUGACACUAGGUUCAUGUUCGACCUAUGUUUAUACAUUAGGUUCAUGCCACUCGAUCUAUUUAUUAUCCUAGUUAUCUACGCCUAGGAUUAUAAUUUGCACAUUUUCAUUUACUUUGUCACCGUCAAGAUUUCUACUCAACUGGAGUUGUCGAUUUAUACCCAAUUCUUAGGGAUUUAACAUGAGGUUCAUAGUUUUCAUAUUCUCACUCAUCUUGUUACCAUCGCGGUUUCCAGUCAAUUAGAAUUAUCGACUUUCAUAUAGCUUGAACUAUAGUACAUUCACUUCCAUAUAUGUUUAGACAUAGGCAUCAAACGUUCAUAUUCAACUUGCCUGACUUUAGUCUAUGUAUCAACAUUCACAUAUCAUUUAUCAUUCAUAUGUUCAUGUAUGUUUAGUCAUAUGCAUCGAGCAUUCAUGUUUAUAUAGGCUUAGUCAUAUGCAUCUAGCAUUCAUAUCCAUAUGCAUCUAGCAUUCAUAUUUCUAGGGUAACCAUUAUAGAUCAUCAUAUAUCAACAAUCAUAUAUGCCUACUCAUAUGCAUCUAGCAUUCAUGUUCAUAUAUCGACAAUCAUAUUCAUUUAUGCGUCAAAUGAAACCAUGUUUUACUUUGGCAUGGAAGUGACCUAAUCACUUCGGUAAAGCACAACCCACCUUUAUUUGAUACCUGGAUGCGAGAAAUCCGCUUCUCGCACUUUCCCGAGAACCGCGACCCGCGCUCCCGACACUUGUCGCCGAAAAUGUUCUUUUGGCGAUAUCUUUGCGUAGGCUCGACGGAUUGCCGAACCGACUUCGCCAACGCGUUUCUUUUACCCUCAAUUAGGUUUGUACGCGGUCAAUUUUACGUUAGGACUUCAAUCCUGCAAAAGUGCAUUAGCGAGGUCAGUUUCUAUAAAACCCUUUUUGAUGCAAUUUCACAAUUCAAUUCCUUCUAUUCUUUCAUAUUUCCUCUUAUUCUUUCUUUUCUUUCUUUCUUUCUUUUAUUUCCCUGCAGCUUUCUUACUUUCUUUUCUUUCUUUCUUUUCUUUCCUUGCUUUCUUUCUUUUCUUUCUUGCUUUCUUGCUUUUCUUUCCCUGCUGCCCCUGCAGGGCAGCUGCUGCUGCUGCCACUACUGCUGCUAAGCUGCUGCUGCUGCUGCUGUAGCUGCUGCACUGCUGCUACUCCAGCAGCUGCUGCUGCUACUCCAGCAGCUGCUGCUGCUGAUGCUACUGCUGCUGCUACUCCAGCAGCUGCUGCUGCUGGUACUCCAGCAGCUGCUGCUGCUGGUGCAUGCUGCUGCUGCUGCUGCUGGCAGCAGCUAGCUGAGCUGCUGCUGCUGAUGCUACAGCUGCUGCUGCUGAUGCUGCUACUCCAGCAGCUGCUGCUGCUGAUGCUACUGCUGCUUGCUGCUGCUGCUACUCCAGCAGCUGCUGCUGCUGGUGCUACUACUGCUGCUUGCUGAGCUGACCAACCUGCUGCUGCUGCUGUUGCCACUGCUGCUACAACCAGUAACAGAGGGAAAAAUGGAAAGGGAAAAGGAAAGGAGAAGAGAAAAACAAUGAAAUUACCUCUUUUCUUCUUCUCUUCUUCUUCUUCUUUUGCUCUUCCUCUCCCUCUCUCUCUCUCUACGUAUGGCAGGGUGAAGGGGGAUAAGGAUGGAGGGGGCUGCCUGGCAGGUUUAGUGGAAAUCCACUAAGCCUAGGAUAUUUACCAUUUUGCCCCUCGAGUAUUACAACUUGGCGACACGGAUCAAUCACCUUUCGCAGUUCCUUCCAAAUGUCCGAUUGAGCUCAAAUUUGACAGGCAUGUUCGGUUUUACUUAACAAGUCCAAAGAAAUUUUAACAUUUCAGUUCCGACCCCGUUUGGUCACUGCGAACUGUACCGAACUGCAAUCUUUAUCCGAUAGCUUUCGGAUCCAAUUUCUCUCUCUACGGGUGUCAGAAUAAUCUGAAACUUCAAAUAUAGCCUCAUAAAAACAUUCCUGACAUCUCUGCCAAUUUUUAUAAUUUUCUGACACUGUGCAUUUUCUGCUAAUUUCUCAGUCCCGUUCUUUACAGAAAAUUCUAAAUCUUCUGUUUUCGCUCCGAUUUCAACACGAGUCAUUCCAGACUUAUGUUUUACACCCUUAAGUCCAAUCAAAUGGUAUCUCAUACCAUUUUAUAUUACUUUGCUCACUUUAAUUCUUUUAAUCAAAGUUAGCNGAACCGCGACCCGCGCUCCCGACACUUGUCGCCGAAAAUGUUCUUUUGGCGAUAUCUUUGCGUAGGCUCGACGGAUUGCCGAACCGACUUCGCCAACGCGUUUCUUUUACCCUCAAUUAGGUUUGUCGCGGUCAAUUUUACGUUAGGACUUCAAUCCUGCAAAAGUGCAUUAGCGAGGUCAGUUUCUAUAAAACCCUUUUUGAUGCAAUUUCACAAUUCAAUUCCUUCUAUUCUUUCAUAUUUCCUCUUAUUCUUUCUUUUCUUUCUUUCUUUCUUUUCUUUCCCUGCAGCUUUCUUACUUUCUUUUCUUUCUUUCUUUUCUUUCCUUGCUUUCUUUCUUUUCUUUCUUGCUUUCUUGCUUUUCUUUCCCUGCUGCCCCUGCAGGGCAGCUGCUGCUGCUGCCACUACUGCUGCUAAGCUGCUGCUAAGCUGCUGCUGUAGCUGCUGCACUGCUGCUGCUGCUACUCCAGCAGCUGCUGCUGCUGGUACUCCAGCAGCUGCUGCUGCUGGUGCAUGCUGCUGCUGCUGCUGCUGGCAGCAGCUAGCUGAGCUGCUGCUGCUGAUGCUACAGCUGCUGCUGCUGAUGCUGCUACUCCAGCAGCUGCUGCUGCUGAUGCUACUGCUGCUUGCUGCUGCUGCUACUCCAGCAGCUGCUGCUGCUGGUGCUACUACUGCUGCUUGCUGAGCUGACCAACCUGCUGCUGCUGCUGUUGCCACUGCUGCUACAACCAGUAGCAGAGGGAAAAAUGGAAAGGGAAAAGGAAAGGAGAAGAGAAAAACAAUGAAAUUACCUCUUUUCUUCUUCUCUUCUUCUUCUUCUUUUGCUCUUCCUCUCCCUCUCUCUCUCUCUACGUAUGGCAGGGUGAAGGGGGAUAAGGAUGGAGGGGGCUGCCUGGCAGGUUUAGUGGAAAUCCACUAAGCCUAGGAUAUUUACCAUUUUGCCCCUCGAGUAUUACAACUUGGCGACACGGAUCAAUCACCUUUCGCAGUUCCUUCCAAAUGUCCGAUUGAGCUCAAAUUUGACAGGCACUUUCGGUUUUACUUAACAAGUCCAAAGAAAUUUUAACAUUUCAGUUCCGACCCCGUUUGGUCACUGCGAACUGUACCGAACUGCAAUCUUUAUCCGAUAGCUUUCGGAUCCAAUUUCUCUCUCUACGGGUGUCAGAAUAAUCUGAAACUUCAAAUAUAGCCUCAUAAAAACAUUCCUGACAUCUCUGCCAAUUUUCAUAAUUUUCUGACACUGUGCAUUUUCUGCUAAUUUCUCAGUCCCGUUCUUUACAGAAAAUUCUAAAUCUUCUGUUUUCGCUCCGAUUUCAACACGAGUCAUUCCAGACUUAUGUUUUACACCCUUAAGUCCAAUCAAAUGGUAUCUCAUACCAUUUUAUAUUACUUUGCUCACUUUAAUUCUUUUAAUCAAAGUUAACGUCGGAAAUCCGAAAAUUCUCUUUUGCAUUUCUUUUCGCGCCCAAUUUGUGCCGAAACAUUUAUUUAUCUCCAAAAUUCAUUCUCACGCGUCCAAAAUCACUCGGGGAUGAUGUCCAACUAGCUCAAUCCUCACUUUGAUCCCCUAGAUCAAAGUUUGCAUCGCAACUCAAGGUUUCCAUAUAUUACAUCCCCGAUCUCUACGGAAGGGAGCACGAUGACCGUAGCAAAUUUCUGAUCAUCGUGCUCACCUUAGUUUCUGCCGGGGAGACUCCGUUCCGCUGUUUCGGCGGUGUCGACCCUAUAGAGCCUGUUUGGCUGCUGUUUUGGGUUUGCGCACGCUUAUCCGGCGAUCCGAGGCUGUCCUGAUGCCUCCGAAGGUGAGCACGGUGAUCGUUGGUCAGUGCUGAUCACAGUGCUCACCUCACUUUGGAUCAACAGUGUCCGGUUAGCCCUGUUUGGCGCGAUCUUCCUCGACUGCGCACUGUUCGCAGAACUUCGGGUUACUCCCGCGCUUCCCACUGUGACCUGUUGCGCUCCAGACCGUGAGCACGGCCUCCGGCACAUCGAGACCUGUCAGUACGUGUCUCGGCGGAACUUAGAGGUCCUCAGUUUGUGAGAACGAGUCAUAAGAGUCGCCCGAUUUACAUAAAAUGAUGGAUUUUAUGUAAACAUAGGGGCUUUUGUGCAAUUGUACACCUUGUGNNNNNNNNNNNNNNNNNNNNNNNNNNNNNNNNNNNNNNNNNNNNNNNNNNNNNNNNNNNNNNNNNNNNNNNNNNUCGAUCAACCUGUAGUAGGGGCUCACUAAAACCUGCGCACUCUUACUUAAAACCUCUAUUUAUUUACAAAGCCGCGUUUAACCCGCGCUUUUCUUUACUUUUUCUCUUAAAAGCCUAAAGGCUGCGAUUGAAACUAAUUUUCUUAAUUUCACUCGUUUCAUUAUACAAUCCUCACUUUGAUCCCCUAGAUCAAAGUUAGCAUCGCAACUCAAGGUUUCCAUAUAUUACAAUCUCCUCCCGUUAACAAAAGUUUCGUCCGCGAAACUUAGAUACAUAUUCUUCUAUUUACCCUAACGGAGGGAGAUAAGUUCCAACAACCAUCAACAUGUAAAAUCAUAUCAUUCCGUAGCUUCUGAAUUUCAUUCUAUGCUACCCUGAUUCCUCCGAAUCAGUCUCUACGAACCCUUUGUUCGCGUUUCCAAUCCCAGCUCGUUAGCGAUGCUUAUCUUAGCAAUUCUGACUAAAUAAUUCACAGGACCGAGCCUUCGCUCUCACGGUCCCUAUACACUAUCCUUCACUUGGACAUGUUCGAAACACUCACUUCCAAUGCACACGGGUAAUUACUCGUCUUAAUUACCAUAGAUUUGUUCGCAAAUCGGAUCGGCGAUUUGCUAGUCUUAUCACUUAACUCAACGUCUCUCGCUCGCAAGCGUAGACCCAAUUAUCACGAGACACCGUUCUCAUUUGAGAUAUCGCAUACCUGCUCCAACUGGGAGCAACCAAGACCCCAAACCACGCCAAGUCCUCGGAUUGGGUCACAACCGCACUCUCAGUGCAUCACCGAUUUCACGAUCCAACGCGUGGCAUUCCACGUACUCGGGUCUAUGCUCGGACUACUGUCCUGACCAAAACUCUCUGCCCUACCUACAGGUAUCGGGUCGCUGUCUCUCACAGCUGACUGCGCCUGCCCAAUGGGUCCAGGCUCCACAGUCCACAAUUGGUCCAGGCAUGGAUCGCCCCCAAGCACUACCCGCAAACAUCGUCGUC
rnacentral:lncRNA from 1 species